rnacentral:lncRNA from 1 species
GGAGGGAGGGGUGGUGAUGGGCUAAACGCCAGCCAGCACGUGCAAAUGCAAUGGAAGAUUGGAGAGUCAGCAAUCAUAAAUGAGAAGCAACACUUUCUACAUAACGACAAUCUUGAUGAUAACAUGCAAUUCAACGUCCGAUACGACUUGUCGCCAGAUGAUUGGUUGUAAGCGUACGGGAAUUCAAACUCUUACGUUUUCCUCCUUGAUACAUAUCACACAUAUAUAUAUAUAUAUAUAAGCUUCAAAUUGGCUUCAUUUAUAAGACCCUUUUCAUACAUAGCUCCCACAUUCUCCAAAUAAUAUAAUCAGUAUCUCAUUUUCUGAGCCUCGGAUCGCAGCAGCACUCGCAUCGCAGCUGUAUAUGGGGGAGAAGGUUUGUAAAUUGGCCUUUUGGUUAAAUUUUUUAUGUGCAUCUCAUGAUGAUUGAGAGAGAGAGAGAGAGAGAGAGAGAGAAAGAGAGAGUUGCUUCUGUUGUUGAUUAAUUCUUUAAUUUCAGAAAUUAACCAUUAAAAUAUUUCCCACUCCCUGGCCUGUAAUUACUAAAUAUCAGUGAUGGCUACAAAUCAUUCAUUAAUCAACUAUCUCUGUAAUGUUUACAGAAGGUUACGACGAUGGUGCUGAAGGUUGACCUUCAGUGCUCAAAGUGCUACAAGAAAGUCAAGAAAGUACUUUGCAAAUUCCCUCGUAAGUGUCUCUAUCUCCGAUCACUUUAAUAAUUAAUUAGUCGUGGGAUUGUGUUUUUUGUAUUUGUCAAUAAAAGUGGUUUAUUAUGGAUCAGUGAGCUAAGAUAUAUAUAUAUAUAUGUUGAAAACUUUAUGAACAAGAGAAAUACAAGACCAGAUAUUCGAUGAGAAGACGAAUACGGUGAGAAUAAAAGUAGUGUGCUGCAGUCCUGAAAAGAUUAGGGACAAACUAUGCUGCAAAGGUGAAGGUUCAAUCAAGAGUAUUGCAAUCCUGGAACCUGAAAAGCCUAAACCACCACCACCAAAACCCAAAGAACCCGAGAAGCCAAAAGCACCUGAGAAACCCAAAGAACCCGAGAAGCCAAAACAACCUGAAAAACCCAAAGAACCCGAGAAGCCAAAACAACCUGAGAAACCCAAAGAGCCGGAGAAACCCAAAGAGCCCGAGAAACCUAAAGAGCCCGAGAAACCUAAAGAGCCUGCGAAACCCAAAGAGCCAGAAAAGCCUAAAGAGCCACCAAAACCAUCACCACCGGCACCUGCACCGGCACCGGCACCGGCACCUGCACCAGCACCGGCUCCAGUUCCGUGUCACCCGCCGGUCGGGGUGUGCUGCAGGGAAUGUUAUGAGGGGCGCGGUGGGGGACCAUGUUACGAUCUUGGCUAUGGGCAAACGAGGCAUUAUGAUGGGUACUGUGGAAGGCCAGUGUAUGAGGGUUGGGCUGGCGGCUGCGAUACUAGAGGUUAUUACAGAAGUCGUUGCUCAGAUUACAUCUGUGAAGAAAAUCCAACAGCGCCUUGCACCAUCAUGUAAAUUCAUAUUACAUAUACAAAUCCAAUCCAUGCUACUGCCUACCGCCACCCACCAAUGAUCGUGAAUGGUGAUUGUCGGUGAUCAUGUCCUUUUCUUCUAGUUGCCUCUUGUAUGUUGUUGAUUUAAUCAUUUACUUUUUUUUUAUGAUGAUAAUAAAUAACAAUAAUGAUAUAGACUUUAUAGGAAGGAAAAUAAUAGCUAAAUAAAAGCAAGAUUGGUGGAUCCGUUGAUCAAUUUGUUGAUGCUACAAUUAAUUUAAUAAGAGGUUUCCAUUAAUAUUGAUUGCCUUUUCAAUUAAUUAUGCAUUUCCGAUUCCUAACCUUGUCCUUCACUUUCUGAUCGUGCACAUACGUAUGCCCUUUCUUAUUAUUUUAGUGAUGUCCUCCUGUUAAAGAUAUAUGUAGUCCGCUAGAGUCGCAGUCUUCUAGUUUUAUUUAAUGCUUUAUAAAAGGUGAGUAGUGCUUUUCGUUUUCGAAUGAAAUUUUGGAGACCAUAGAUUUUUAAAAUGCCUCUUUUUUUUUUUACUUCUCUCAAGUCCUUGACUCAAUUUCACCGUCUAGAAACGCCAAUGACAAAGGCACUCAAUUCACUCAAAUUUAAUUGAGCUGUCUUUUUAAAUUUAUCUUUUAAGAUAAGAGUCAAUGAUUUAAGCUAGUCAAGGUUAUUGCAAAUGAUUAAUGAGAAUGUUACUGAGAGCGGGGACAACGAGUUUACGGAAGAGCAAAUGCGAUAAACAAUGCGAAACCUCCAAGUUUUAUGGUCAUAAAUCUAUCGUAAGUAAAUCAGUAGAUUUUUUACAUGAAAAAAAAAACAAUUAAUAAAGAUAUAUAAGGAUGUAACUGUCCUUUUAUGAUUGUGUAAAUAUUUUUAACUAACUUAGAAUUCAAUGAAGGAUUUGAAUGGAACAAAUUGGGAAUUUGAAAUGGUUAAUUGUUAAGUGAUGCAUUUUAAAAUCGUAAUUUCAAUCUUUGAGUUUCUUUUCAAAAAGAAAAAUACAAGUAAGUAAAUUGAAGGAAACAAAAGGAGAUCAUUUCGAGCACGCUUCUAUGACAAGAAAAGGAAACAUUACACAAGUAGAAGAAACGCAACGUGGGGUAUUGUAGUUUGGUCCUAGCUUGUUUGGUGACGGAUUAGGCUUGAUUGGUACUGGUCGAGCUUCAAAAUAUGCCAUAGAUAGAGAGGCUACAGUCGUUAUUUAUCUGAAAAUUAAUUAAAAUGGAUGGAGAAAUUAAGACACCACACAGCCACUAAAAUCAGUAGACAAUAUCCUCCUCCUCUGAUUGAUAUUAGGGCCCCUUUUGAGAUUGCAUUUUAGAGGUUCAAAAAUAAUUUUAAAAAAUUAAUAAUUAAUUUUAUUAUCUAGUAAUUUUUUUAAUUUAUUUUUUGUAAGAUUACUCCAUCUUAAAAGAUAUUUUGAAAAGUAGGGAAGGUGUAACUUUUCAAAAAUUUAAUUUUGAGAAUCGGUUUUAUACUUAAUACAAUUACAUAUAUGUCCUCACAUAUUUUGUAAAAAUCUAAAAUUAUCCUUAUCAAUUGGGAAAUAAAAUCGCUACAUUUAAAGAUAUCAUUAUUAUUACCAAUUAUAUUUAAAUAACAAAUAAAAAUAAAAUUAAUAAUAUUAAAAUAUUCAUUUUAAUUAAAUUAAAGUAUAUAGAUGAUAAAAAAUAAUUUAUUUAUAUAUUUAUAAAUGUGUAAGCAAAUUUUAUUUAUCAUUACAUCCAUUUCAGUUAUUUGUAUUUUUACAACAGUUUAACAAUAAAUUUACCAAACACUUAUGACUGUUUUUGAAGCACACGAAAUUUUUUUAAAUAAAUUUACCAAAUAUUUAACAGACUCUCUUCACAAUUAUUUAUUACUACAGCAUAGUUAACAACGAUGAUUUUAAAAACUAUAAUAUUACCAAACUGACUGUAAGUGUUAAAUUUUCACUUGUUAUUGGCAUGCAUGGACCUGGACCCUCUCUAUAUGUAUAUACAUCUUAUAUAUGCUAGUUGCUACUUUUGUUAUAGUUAAUGUAUUUGACUAAGUAAACUAUAUAUUAAAAGGAAAAUGAAGGUGGAGAUGAAGGCAGAUGCAUGCCUGGAUGGAAAGGAAUCAUACGUAUAUACAAAUUCUAAAUUCCUUUAUUAUUAAUUAUUAAGCUGCUGCUUUGUUGGUCGGUACCCCAUCUAAAUCCAAUUGAAUUCAGUACACACACAUGGUCAUGCAUGCAUUUCCAGUUCAAAUCCAUGUGCUAAUUUAAGUAGAAGAUUGUUCAAUUAUUUUAAUGAACUCCCUUUUGGUGAUUUUAAUAUUUGAGCAAUCCAUUGAGGAGGUUUUACUCCUUUUAUGGUUUAAUUGCUACUAUAUAUAUAUAUAUAUAUAUUUUUAUUUUUUUUUUGCUAACUUUCGAAUACAAUAAAAUCAUUGGCGAUGUGGUUUAAUGGCAACGAGGCCCCUUUUAAUACAAAAAUUCGUGACGUGUUUAACUGGAUCGGGCCUCUGGGAAUCUAGCCCAAAUGAAUUAGAUUCAUUAAUUUCUUUCUUUCCUAUUUUGUGGGGUGGGAUAUGGCGGGAAAAUAUAUUAGUAAAUCCAAACAAUAAUACUAAAUGGGGAAAAUUUGUGGUGCAACUGUGGUACCGUGUCACAUUCACAUCCAGCUGUUGGAUUCUAAUGGACUCCACUCAUCUAAGUAUAUCCAACGGCUGGAUGCAGCUGUGGCACAGUACCACAGUUGCACCAUAGCCGGACCCUACUAAAUGCAGCUAAAUUAUCUCAAUAUUUCAUUCCAAUUGCUAAGUGAUGAAUAUCAUUAUCUGUGUUCGGGUUGAUUUUUGGACCUAUAAAUAAAGGACAUAUAGAUGAUUAUAUUAUUUAGACACAAUAUUUAGAGCAAUAUAAGGAUGUCACAAGAAAGAAUUUAUUCCAUUUGAUGAGCUUUAAAAUUUAGAGUAAUAAUAUAGCCAUAAAUUUUUGUACAAAUUUAUUUUGUACAAACUGAUAUGGUAUAAUAAAAUUGAUUGAAUUAAAUAUUUCUUGGCCCACAUGAUCUAUUUUUAUUAUUUUGUAUUUUUAUUCAACCAAUGAAUUAAUGUCAAAUCAGUUUGUAAAGAGAUAAGUUUGUACAAGAAUUUAUGGUUGUAUCAUUGAGAUAAGACUUUUAAAACAUAUUUUUGGAAAGAAUAGUACAAAAAAAAUAAUUUUCUACCUUUUCUUAAAUGCGACAUAUAACUUAAAGAUAUUCUCCCUUUUUUUUUUAACCUAAGCAUGCCAUUUAACUCUAAAAAUUUAUCCACUCUCUUUACCACUAGCCUCUGCCAUAUAAAUGCCAUAUUUUUCAAAAUGGAGAGUGUCCUUUAUGUUUGGGGCUCCUUUACCUCCUUCUUCGAUCAUCAUCCACUUUUUUGUUUUUUGGAGGCUAUUUCUACCAUUUUCUAUUCUUCAUUUUUAUCAUCUCUUCCACCGUAUUGUUAUCACUCUAGCUCUACAUCUUCAUUCACUAUCUCUAUCUUUAACAACGCCCACAUCUCCAUACAAACAUCCAACUCAUUUUAUGUAUAUCUGCUAAUCUCACGUGAAUGUAAGCCAAAAGAUGAACCAUAUAGUGUAUGUGUGCUCUUUAAAUUUGUGUUUGUUUUACUAUAUCUACAAUUUGAAGUUCAAAUCAUAUUUCAAAUGUAAGCCACAUGAAGUACUUUAGUUUUCCUUGUGAUCUCUUUUGAGCUCCACUUAACUCACUUGAGUUAUCCAACUCUCCAUAUUGCUUAACCUAUCAAUGGCUUACCUUGUUGUUCCUCCACUAAAUAAAACAAAUCUUCAUAUUGCUUAACCUAUCAAUUUAUGGAGGUGAAUGUGGCUGAUUCAGGGGCUGCCGUGACUGGAGAAAGACGCCAGCGAGGAGAGGAGACUCCAGCGGUGGUAGAACACAACUGGCUGCCCGUGCAGCCAUGGGCGGCUGAUCAAAGUUUACAUUCGGAUCCGGUAUAGAAUUUCCAUUUGGGUCUAGAAUCGGAAAAGUCGAACCUAGACCCGAACCGGAACUCGAAUUUUGCCAUCCCUAUUCUAAAGAAGGAUUCAAAAAAAUUAAAAUAACCUGCAUUGAGUUCGAAUUAAUUCCAACCACAAAUUCUUCAAAACCUUCUGACAGCGUGAUCAACUGCCAAAAGUUAUGCAUAGAAGGCUAUUUGUUGCCCUGCCCCUAAAAAUGGUCAAAAUUUCCAAGUUAGGAGCCUUCAUAGCAGCGAAAAAUAGUCCUGAACGCCGAGGGACCAGGAUUAAUUUUCCUUAAAAAAGACCAUCCGCAUUGACAUUCAUCCAGUCUACAUGAGGGCGAAAAUACGUACUUAAUGCACGCAUUGUGUUAUUCUUUGAUCAUCGUGCACAUCCUCCACAUAAAACUAAUUAAAAGUAGUGUAUAAGAAAACUAUCUUAUACUAAUGAUUGGGUAAGAUUUCCACACAUCUGAUGCUCGAUCACAAGAAGGCAGGAUACUAAUGGUGAAGAUAAAUUAUAAUUUGGAUUAUUUGAAUAUUUAACAUAGAUAGCCAAUCAGGGAAAAGAAAAAAAAAAAAAAAGAAGAUAGAUGGAGAUCAAGACAGAUGGUUAAGUAGACAAAAUUAAAUAAUCAACUCUACAAAUGUGAUAACUUGCUUAUCAUUAUGACUUGUUCAACAAAUUUAAAGAAGUCUCUAUCUGUGGCAUUAUUUAUCUGGAGCUCUUCGAGAAGGUUUCAAUCGAUCCUUAACUUUUUAUUAAUUUGUGGCAUUAUUUAUUAAAUAUUUAGGUUAUAACGAUAAUGAUGUCGACUUCUUUCUUUUUUUCAAAAAACUAAAUUUAAAGAUAGGAAAAAAAAAUCGUAAAAGCUUGUUAAAAUCUGAAAGGAUGCGAGUAAAAUGAACUCUUUCUGAAGAAUUUAUAAGUGCGGCAUUAUUAAAGGUUGGAAAUUAUAUAGUUAAUUAGAAUAUUCGGAGGAGGACGACGACUGAACUGUGAUUGACUCACUAAUGAGAGAUUGAUUAAAAAUAAAAUUUAAUGUACAAAAAGGGAAAAAAAAAAAAAGAAAGAAAAGAAAAGAAAACUGACAUUAAACGAUAAUAUAUUAAGAAAGAAAAGAAAAGAAAACUGACAUUAAAUGUACAAAAAGGGAAAAAAAAAAAAAGAAAGAAAAGAAAAGAAAACUGACAUUAAACGAUAAUAUAUUAAAGGAGUAGUAGUGUUCUAAAUUUUAACAGCUGUAAUCAGAAGAAAUCUGCGAUAUGAUGCAUGUUCCAGUGGACAAAAUGAACUUGUAUCCAGAGAAAUAUGAACAUAUGUUUACCUAAUAUUCUACCUACGUGUCUGACGACCCCAAAUUUGUUUGCUUUGACAACUAAUACUGUACGUGUAUGCGAAUGUGAGCGUGACGUCUUCUUAAGAUGUAUAUAGUUUUCGGCCAUUUCAUUCAGUAAUAUAACGUCAAACGAUUAAUCAUCAGUAGCCGAGUAUUCAGAUCGGAUCACAAGACCAUGCCUGACAAGGUUUGCAAAUCUUUUUACUCAUCUUUUACUUUGCUAGAUCUGCUCUUUCUUCAUUCCCCAAUCCCCAUUUUGUUCAAUUUCAUUUCUCUAGCUACGACGAUCACUUUAGUUUCCUGUGAUGAAUCACAUAAAUACAAAAUGUUAAUGAUUGUGUGUGUGUGUGUGUAUCACACAUGCUGUUUACUUUGUGGCAGCUGCAGGUUACAACAAUGGUGCUGAAGGUUGACCUUCAGUGCUCAAAGUGCUAUAAGAAAGUCAAGAAAGUACUUUCCAAAUUCCCACGUAAGUAAUUUAAUUGAAUUUCUCUGCUAUGUCUACACAUAUAUAUUUUGUGAAAAUGAAAAAUUAAUGUUAUUGAUGAUCAGUGGGCUAAGGGUCGUAUGUAUGUAUGUAUGUUGUGUUGAAUUUUGUGAACAAGAGAAAUACAAGACCAGAUAUACGAUGAGAAGCAAAACAAAGUGACAAUCAAAGUCGUUUGCUGCUGUCCCGAAAAGAUGAGGGACAAGAUAUGCUGCAAGGGUGAUGGCGUAAUCAAGAGCAUUGAAAUCAAAUCACCUGAUGAUCAGAAGAAGAAGAAGGAGGAGCCUGCUGAUAAGAAAGAGCCCGAAAAGAAGAAAGAAACACCUCAGACUGAGAAGAAAAAAGAAAAAGCAGAAGAGUCGAAACCUAAAAAUAAGGAGCCUGCGCCUGAGAAAGGAAAAGAAAAAGAUCAGCCAGAGAAAAAGAAAGAACCUAAAGAUACACCUAAGCCUAAGGUUGACCCACAGCCUAAGGUUGACCCACCAGCACCGGGUUACCCACCCCCUUAUUACCCAUUUGGGGUGUGCUGCCCCGAGUGUUAUGGGGGGCACGGUGGGGGGCCAUGUCACCGUUACGGACCGCCACCGAAAAUAUGGUACGAUGGUUAUUAUGGAAGGCCAGUUUAUGAUAGUUGGGGCGGCAGCAGCAAGUAUUACGGAUACCGUUCUGAUUGCCUCUCUGAAGAAAAUCCUUCAGCUUGCGCAAUCAUAUGAAUCAUAUUAAUUACUACUGGAUUAUAUUAUAUUCGUCCUUGUCAUGUAUUUUUGUUAUUAUUAUUCAUAGUCUAAUAUUUUCUUGCGUUUUCUUGAUUGUGAUCGAGUAAUGGUCAUCUAAUUUGUGGUUCCCCCCACGCCCCCCCGCCCUCUCUAUAUAUAUAUAUAUGAAAUGUUCAAUUUAUAACUCGUAAGGGGUUUUUACACAAAUCUUUUAAUUUUUCCUUCCCUUCUUUGGAUACCAAACAAUGGGAAGAAAGAGAGAGAGAGAGAGACGACGGAGAUAUGAGAAUUAAAAAUCAAACUUUAGUGAAUGUACAAAAAACUGAAAGUCACGGGGGCUAAGGGUAAUUGGUUGAUACAACAGUGAUGACAGCAUGCAUUUAUGGUUGAUGGGUAAGAUUUCCACAUCAUUGUGGUCCUCACUUUUAAUGCUGAAAAUAAAAUUUAAUGGCAUACACGGUCCAUUGUGGAACAAGUCGAAUUAGAGGUAGAUCUAUAAAUUAAUGGACAUCAAGGCAAAAUUAAAAGGAAUCGAUAUAGACUCUUUCAAUUUAAUUAUUCAAAUAUUUAUUUAUUUAUCACAUAAAUAAAAGACUAAAGUGUUUGGUAAAUAUUAAUUACUGUAACUUAAAAAUUAUGUUAAUAUAAUUUUUCACUCAUAUGAUAAAAAAUUUAUUAUAUUUUUAAUAAUUUUGUCAAAAUUAUUACUUAAAAUUUAUAUUUACUACAUAUAAUUAACUUUUGUUUUAUGGUUACAACUUUUUUUCUACUCCAGCUGUAAUUUAAAAGAUACAACACUUCAAUCUUAAAUGUGACCUAAAAAAAUUAAUCAUCUUCCAAAAGACUUUUUAAAUAAAAUUAAGUUCAUAUUAUUUUAAUCAAUUUUUUUCUUGACUAAAAUAAUAACAAUUAUAAACAUCACUCCAUUCAAGAAUGAGAAAAUAAAACUAAUAUAAUAUUAAAUUGAAGGUUCUAAGAGAUUCUCUAAAUGGGAUUCUCUAAAUAAGAUUGUCCCUCUUUUUAUAUUAUAGAAAGAGAACGGUAAUCUUAUUUGAAAAGUCUUUUAAAAUAAUUUUUACUUAUGUGGUUUUUCAAAUUAUAAGUAAAAUUUCAUUUAAAUAGUCUUGUAAUGGUGCUCUAAUAAUGCUAGCCACUUCCUGUUAUCAGUAGAGUUGAUGCAUGCAAGUGCUUCUGGUUGGUUAUUAUUGGUUAAUAAUGCCUAGGCUAUUACCUGGCUCAUACUCUCUCAUGUCCAUGUGCAUCAUCACUAUUCACCAACACAUUGGUAACAUUUUUUUGUUAAUGAAGAGAUUCACUAAGCCAUUGAAAUUUUAUCUAAGGACAUGUUUGGCAUUGAGGUUGGGUAACUAUAGACUUUAAGUUACAGUACUAAAAUAUUAGGUAAAUACUAAUUAGUGUAACUUGAAAGAUAAAUUGAUUUAUGAAAAACUUAUAAUAUGUUUAUUAUUUUUUAAAAAAUAUUAUUUAAAAGUUAUAUUUAUUAUACAUUAUCUAUUUUUAUUUAAAAAUUUUUUUUUUUACAACUAUUAUAAUUUAAAAAUUAUAGUAUCUCAAUAUCAAAUAGGGCCUCAAUUGAGGCUUGAGAUAUAAUUCAGAAUCUAAAUUUUAGAUACGCAAUACCUCGACUGAGGAUUGGGGUCCUUUUGCUCAAUCUAUUGAGCCGCAAGCUACUUAGCCCAAUUUUUCUGUUUGGGCUCAUGAUGUAAGCCCAACCUACAUAGUUUGCUCAAAUAACCAUUUUCCCCCUUUUUUUUCUGUACUCUUCAAUUUCUCUCCCAUUGUUGAUAAGGGUGGUCCCGUUGUUUGUGCCGCGAGAGAGAGAGAGAGAGACGCAGAGACUCUUCUACUGCAGUUUAUCGCGUGGGUGCGUGCGUGUAAUAUAACAUAACUCAGCCUGAGGUGAGUGUUGAACAAUGGCUUCCAAUCUCUGCUACUCAACGUGUUCUCUCUUUUCAACACCAAAGCUUGGAAGAAGAACCUUCACUUUCUCUUUUCAACGCGACGACUCCCUCUCAUUUUACUCCAAAACCUCUCUCCAAAAACGCAGCGUUUCGUUGCAAGAAACCCAGAGCUCAAACCCUACAAAGCAUUCGCAAAAUCCUCAAUACCCGCACGGAAAAACUGGUUCUUCUCCUAAAAGCUACAUCUGGGUCAAUCCCAAAAGUCCAAGAGCUUCCAAGUUGAAGGAAAAAUCUUAUGAUACGAGGUACAAUUCUCUUGUUAAACUUGCCGCAGAUUUGGAUUCUUGUAGUGCGACUGAAGAUGAUGUUUUUAGUGUUUUGCGUUGCUUGGGUGAUGAUUUCUUAGAGCAAGAUUGUGUCAUUAUUCUUAAUAACAUGACCAACCCAGAUACUGCAGCGCUUGCUUUGACAUAUUUUACAAAUAAAUUGAAAGCUAGUAAAGAAGUGAUUCUUUACAACGUGACUAUGAAAGUGUUUAGAAAGUGUAGAGAUUUGGAUAAAGCCGAGAGGUUGUUUGAUGACAUGCUUGACCGAGGUGUUAAGCCAGAUAAUGUUACCUUUUCGACUUUGAUUAGUUGUGCUAGGAUGAAUAAUUUGCCUAACAAGGCUGUUGAGUGGUUUGAGAGGAUGCCUAGUUUUGGAUGUGAUCCUGAUGCACUUACUUAUUCGUCUAUGAUUGAUGCAUAUGGUAGGGCUGGUAAUGUGGAAAUGGCUUUUGGUUUGUAUGAUAGGGCAAGGAAUGAGAAAUGGCGUAUUGAUUCUAAUGCUUUUUCUACUUUGAUUAAGCUAUAUGGGACAGCGGGUAAUUUUGAUGGGUGCUUGAAUGUUUAUGAAGAAAUGAAAGCGAUUGGUGUUAAGCCGAAUAUGAUUACAUAUAACAAUUUGUUGGACACAAUGGGAAGAGCGAAGAGGCCUUGGCAGGUGAAGACUAUUUACAAAGAGAUGACCGACAAUGGACUUUCCCCAAAUUGGAACACCUAUGCAUCUCUGUUGCGGGCUUAUGGGAGGGCCAGAUAUGGGGAGGACACUCUUUCUGUUUACAGGGAGAUGAAGGAGAAGGGAAUGCAGUUGAGUGUGACUCUGUAUAAUACACUCUUGGCCAUGUGUGCUGACGUAGGGUACACUGAUGAAGCUUUUGAGAUAUUUGAAGACAUGAAGAGUUCUGAAAAUUGCCAGCCUGACAGUUGGACAUUUUCUUCCAUGAUUACCAUAUGUUCAUGCAGGGGGAAGGUCUCUGAGGCAGAGGCCAUGUUCAAUGAGAUGUUGGAAGCGGGCUUUGAGCCUAAUCUCUUUGUUCUGACAUCACUUAUCCAAUGCUAUGGAAAGGCCCAGCGCACUGAUGAUGUUGUGAGGGCACUCAACAGACUGCCAGAGUUGGGCAUAACUCCUGACGAUCGGUUCUGCGGCUGUCUUCUGAAUGUGAUGACUCAAACCCCGAAGGAGGAGCUUGGUAAGCUUGUUGAAUGUGUUGAAAAGUCCAAUUCAAAGCUGGGGUAUGUGGUGAAGCUUCUAUUGGAGGAGCAAGACAUUGAAGGGGAUUUCAAAAAGGAAGCAACUGAACUCUUUAAUUCAAUUAGCAAAGACGUCAAAAAGGCUUACUGCAAUUGCUUAAUUGAUCUCUGUGUCAAUCUUAAUCUGUUGGAAAAUGCAUGUAAGCUUUUAGAACUGGGGCUUACACUGGAGGUUUACACAGAUAUACAAUCCAGGUCUCCAACUCAGUGGUCUUUACAUCUGAAGAGCCUCUCGCUUGGAGCAGCACUGACUGCAUUACACAUUUGGAUAAAUGACCUGUCGAAAGCGCUGGAAUCUGGAGAAGAGUUUCCGCCAUUACUUGGUAUCAAUACUGGGCACGGGAAACACAAGUACUCAGACAAAGGAUUAGCUAGUGUUUUCGAGUCACAUUUGAAGGAAUUAAAUGCCCCUUUUCAUGAUUCCCCAGACAAGGUUGGCUGGUUUUUGACUACAGAGGCUGCAGCCAAGUCAUGGUUGGAGUCUAGAAGCUCACUGGUCUCAGUUCCUGCCAAGGUGACUGCCUCGUAAGUGUCUGGCAUUCCUGAAUCAGGUUGUAUGCUUAGCAAUGAUGUGCUCACCAUCUCAAACUCCCCUUUUUUUAUGUUCUGGGCUAUAUGUCUCUUGACGGAGGAAGAAUUUUUGUUCUAUUAGACCAUAACUUUUGUUUAUACUUUGAAUUUUUAUAUAUAGAGCUAAUGAAAUUAUGGAAAUGUAAAUUUCGUACUUGCUACUGGAUUUGGGAAGUUGUAUUGAAAAUAAUCAGUCAGUGCUAACUGCUAUCGGUAGGAAGCUUGCUGGUGCUGACUGUGAAAACAUUAUUGAUUUGCACUACAAACGGCCAUUGAGCCAAACACAUCACCACCCAAGCUCUCAAAUUAUUAGCAUUUGUUUAUUAAAAGAAAAAAGAAAAUUAAAAACAUGAAAUAAUUGAAGAAAACAAAAUGCAAAAACUUUUGAUUCUUUGGUAGCCUAUAAAAACCGGACAGAAAUUUGACUUCCAAAUUAUUAAAUACUUCUGAAAGGGCACGGAUAUUUGACCUUGUGGAAAUAAACAAUGUUAUGAUAUGUUCCACAUCUUCUAUUCUUCUUAGUUAAUGCAAACUUGUAUCACGCCCCUUAUUGACUUGCUUAUUCAGAGCCCACUAAAAAAUGUUAAUUAGCAAACCGAAGUAUGUACUUGCCAUUUCUUUAGAAUAAAAUUCGUCACUAGUUUAUACUUUAUAAUGAAGCAUCAUGGUUUGCACUUUGCACGUUAGGUUGCCGUCAACGUGAAAACAAAUUAAAAGCAUCAAUAUAAAUUGCUAAGAGUACAAACUCAAAUGAUGAGUGCACAAUGGGAAAGUUGGUGCCUGUUCUGUCCUGCAUUUCGCACAAGAAAGUUAGGAUUAUUCCUUUGAAUGGCAAAGAAAAAGAUUUACAAAAGCAUAGUGACAAGGCGUACUCUUCAUUGCCUCAAGGUACCAAGCUUGAGGCAAGGGAGGCUAAAAAGGAGAGAGUGAAGAUUGUGAUCACAUGGCAGCAAUUGGAGUUACUGCUGACAAGUGCAAACAAGUUCCAGUCUGGAAAAGUUUCUGUUCGAUUCUCUGAGAAUUUAAUGAAACAGUGUCGGAAAUGGCAUCCAUCUUUAGCUUCCAUUCCGGAGGUGCCAAAUCUUUGAUCAGCUUUUCCUCAUCACAAUGCCGUUGAUGAAUUUACUGUAUAGUUCACUAGAUUGUAGAAAGUAGCUGCUCAAGAGCAGGAGGGUGUUUUUUUUUUCUUUAAAUCGGGUGUCAUUGCUUCGAUCUAUUUCCUCCAUUAUAGCAAUUUUUUAGCUGUAAUUGCGGAUUAUUUUUUGGUUAUAAUAAUUCCGAGAGUGUCUCUAGUGUUUCUCUUUAUAUUUAGGAAAACUAAUGCUCGUAUUGUUUAAAUCUUAAGAAGUAAAUGCCAUGAAAUCAGUGGAUUCAGCAUAACGUAUACGCAAUUACUCCGGGGCCUAGUUUGAUCAGCCACGAUGGAAAAUUCCUUCUCAGAAAAAAAUGUUUCUGAACUCAAAUCCUUUGGUCUGUUUAUGACAAACAAUUCAUAUUUCACUCAUCUGGUAGUUUUAGAUAUUGAUUGGAGAACUGGUGAGUGUAACUUGAGCAUCUAAACAAACAGUCGACAGAAAUCAUAUUGCAUACACAAGCAUUUGAAAACACAAUUCAACACACUCCAAUGAAAUCACAUUGUCAGCUUCUCGCUCUCUCACAAUCUUCUUUUAGUCAUAACUUAUUCAACUAUUUGCAAAAUAAUCCUUAUUUACAGUGAAAAAUCAGCAGAAAUGAAUUAAACGAAUUCCUGAGGCAUGCAACUUUCCAAAGGAAGCUUCAAGGUGCUUUGUUUACCCUGCUGCAAUUUAGACCAUCCAGAAUGUUAGGGAAAGCAACAGAGAACAAAAGAAAUUUAAAAAAAAUAAAAAUUAAUGGAUGUUUCACCAACCUUCUUGAAGAGCUUGUGCUUCUGAUUUUUCUGGUGUCAUCCAGUUUCGCAGAUAUAGCUUCCUUUUCUCUAGCCGCUGCUUCUCUCUUAAUUUUCUUGGACUCAGCUUCAAUGGCUUUUGUCAAUGCAUCAACCUUCCUUAUGAGCAUCUGAAAUGAAAGGAAGGUUAGACAAUUAAUACCUCAUGCUUUAACCACAUGGUGAGUAAGAAGAGAUAAUUGAAACAACACUUCAACCUUGAUUUCUUCAUCUUUAGCAUUCAAGCAACUGUCUUUAGACUCACAGAACUUCCUCAAAAGUAUGACUUCCUUUUGUAGUCUGUCAUACAGAAACCCAGAAACCACAUCUUCUUUAACAGGGUUGGGAUUUCCCUUGUUCUGAGAAACUUCAUGUUCAUAGCCACCAACUUUGUUUUUGACUUCUACUGAGACGUUUGUGUCACCAAUUUUAAACUCAUCAAUAUUGUUGUCUUUGUUCUCCUUCACCUGAGUAUUUUCCUUGCCACAACUGCUAUCAACAACCUUAUUUUUCGAUGGCCAUAUGCUUUUCCUCAGCACGUUUUCUCCGGCAGCACAUUUCUUUCUGAAGCUAUCAGCUCGCUUUAGUCCUCCAGUAAAAUUACCAUUGACCGUUGCAUUUUCUGAGUUUGGCUGAUGCAGUAGAGAGUUUCUACUGAUAGUAGAAGCCCUUGGCUGUGAUGUUGAUCUCUUCCUUAGUCCACCGUUGGCUGUUAAGAACCCCAAAAUAAUGUUACUGGAUUUUUCUGUUUUAGGUGACCCGCAAAAUGUAUUAGGACUGCCCGAGAAACUUGACACGUGCUUUAAGCCUUCUUCCAGAGUCUUUAGCCUUAGCUUCAAUUUUUCCUAAAAUUAAUUCACAUCCGCACAGAAAAUUCAACUGACGGUGAAAAUAUUAGGACAAACUAAUUGUAGAUAUAAUAAAGGAAUCGAAUUUAACCUUCAGUUGUGCUUCCGCCUUGGCUGUUCUCUCUGAUAUAGCUAGCUUGUCUUUUAGUCUCUGCAUCUCAGCCUAGACAUAUAGGGAUGUGGUUAGUCAUAGAAGCCCAAGAAACUUUUAGAAUAUCUAAAUGGCAAAAAAUAAAUAAAUGAAUUCGAAACCUGGAUCCAAGAACCUUUUCCGAUAAGGGAAAUACCUGCAGCAAUCUUCUCUCUUCCAGCCAUUGUCUGACGGGCAUUACUUUGUCAUUUUCAUCCUUCCAUUCAUUAGCCACCACGGUUGCUACUCGGUUUGCUGAAACUUUAACUCUGGCAAGCUCCCUCUCCAGGGUCCUUUUCUCCUCCUGAAAAUGUUAAGGUUACAGGAUCAUUGAAUGGACCUUAUCGACAGAACUAAAAAUCACAACACAUAAGUAUGACACCUACAUUUAGCUCAGUAAUUUGUCGCUGAUAGUCACGAAUAGCAUUAGCUGCAGACCCACCUGCGAGAACAGCUUCCUCAAGUUCUUUAAUGGUUCCGCUAAGCUUUUCAACCUCCAAUACCUUUUGGCGAUUGGUUUUCUCAAGGAUUCUGUUCUCUUCCUGCAUAAUCGUAAUGUCAAUUUGGCUAAUAAUUCAAAAGUCUUAGUACAUCAUCAAAUGUGAUGGGUUCAGUCCGGAAAUCAUGCCUGGCAUAUCUCAAUCUGUCUCUUCAACUCAAAGUUUAGGUUUUGAACCUCCUCAACUAUCAAAGCUCUUUCCAGAGCACUUCGCAGGAUCUUCUCUGCCUCUAGUAGAGCCAUCUCUUUUGCCUUAGUGUGACGUUGCAAAGCCUUCUUGUCCUCUUGAAGAGCAGCAAUCUCUUUUUUAUAUGUUUUGAUAUCCGCCUCCAGGGGAGCAAGGACAGACUCAAUAGGAACUGAAUCAUCAUCUUUAAGAUUUGCAUGCACCCUUCUAAGAGUUGCUUCCGCAGCAUAUUGUGCAGCUAAUGCAUCUUUCUUCUCGCCUGUUACUUUCUUUAUUUCAAGAUUCUGCAUUGUAUCAUGUUAGAAAAAUAUAUCCUUAUAAUAAUACUCACAAGUUAAGCCUCGAAAAUAAUGUAAAAUUCCAAAAGGUAUCACUUAGACCUUGACCUACCCUAUGUUCCAGGACGUUUUGGGUGACUCUGAGUUUCCCGUCUAUCUUACCAAACUCAUUUCUGAGCUGUAAAUGCAGAAAAUAAAGAAUCAAUACUAAAUUUACCAUAAACACAAACAUUUUGGCUAAAGUUAAUUAGUAGCCUGUAUAUAUGUGUAUGUAUAUUUAUUUAUUUUCGUGUGACAAUAAUAAUGUAUCUAUGCGAGUAUUGAAUGCGCAUAUAUGGAUAUCAAAUUGAACUACUAAAUUUGCUUGCAUAGAAAUUCUGAGUACCUCUUCUAUAGCCUUAUCUUUCAGAACUUCAGUUGCUCUUAGUGCCUUGAUUUCACCCUGAGCAUCCGCAAGCUCCCUAUCCUUCUCUGGAAUAAUGUAAAAUAAAAAUUAUUGUCAUAAGCCGAGUAAGCACACACCUGGAAUUUGGACAGCUCAAAAACAAAAUAGUCAUAAAAGCAUGAACUAUGAAGAAGAGAAAAACCUUUAAGCUGAUUCUGUAAACGAUUGAGUUCUAAAACAACAGGAUCAGGAUGAGCAAGAGAGAGCUCUUCAACUCCGCCAAGUUUGAGUUCAUCAAAACCAACCAUCUUUUGGCUAUCUUAGUACAAUGCACGAAAAUAUGGCAUGGAGAAGAAGAAGACGCUGGGGUUUAUAAGAGGGUUUUCUGUGAAACAUGGAGAGAGUCCAUUCCUUUAAGGAAUUGACUGCAAAGAGAGGGAGGCUCUUCCCUUACUCUUAAGCAAUAUCGAUAGUUACAUUUCAUGAGAACCGGCCAAGCCGGCUCUUUCAUUUUGACAAUAACGGUUACUUUCUUUUGUGAUCUUGAUAUUGAUUUUAAAACGUUUUAGUUUCUUAACUGCAAUGAUAAGCCUAAAGCACUAUCUAUUGUAAAUUUUUUAAACAAAUAAAUUAUCCUGCUCAACGGUUCUGAUUGCAAAUAUUAAGUGUCAAUUUUUGUAGCACCAUCACCACCUAUUCGUUCACCUAAUCCAGUUGUGCAAAUGCAUUUGGAUUAUUCAACAAACGUACCCGAAAGUGUAUUGGUUGGAUAUAUAUGCCAUUUGUUGGCCUCAAACCUGGCCAACCGAAGCCGGAGAAUCGGAAUUUUGCACAUAAUUUUACAUUCCCAUUAGAUCAAUUGAGGCCCUUUCUCUUUUGUUUGGUGAAUGUGAUAGACAGAAAAGUGGUAGGUGUCAUUUGAUUCUCAUAUGGUUUAUUUAUUUAUACAACUUCGGCCAUAAAAAUAAAAAAAGAAAACAAGUCUAGUGUAAUGAAUGCCUUCAAAGAUUCUUUAUCAAAGAUAGCGUCAAUGAAAGAUAUGUAUAUCUGCUUUUAUUCAAGAUGAAAAGGAAACCCUCUAGAAAUUUUUAUUUCAGACUAACUAAUCAAGUUUUUCUUAAGCGCUAAAUCCUGCAUAAACCAUGCCUUUAAAUUAACUUAGUGGGCGUCACUCGAGCAUGUUUUUGAACCUAAGCAAAUCAAAAUGAGGUGUUGACGACUCUUAAAUGAAAGUGACAAACUAAAGUGGCUUUCAAGAACAAACUUUAAAAUAAAAAUGAAAAAAAGGAAAAAAAAUUCUGCUGAGAAUGCUUGACAUCUUUGCUUUAAAGUAUAUAUGAUGAACGAAUAAAAGAGAAUCACAUGAAGCUAUCCAGCUACUAAGUGCUUGUGCAAGCACUUUUAGCCAUUUGGCAAAUUCUUGAAUAUAAUUAUUUUUAGAGGACAAAUGGAAGUGUCUACUUUCGCUACCUACAACAACAACAACGCCACCACUACCUAAUUGAGCCUCAGAGUAAAGAACUCAUAAGGGCUAUGACCAGACCCAGAUAGCACCAAAAGAGUCAGAGGAGUUUUUGAUUUAAUUAAGCUAGAUUGUAGGGGUUUUAUAUUAUGUUAAUCAUUACUUAAUUGAAUUCUUCACAAUCCACUUUGUUUUGAUGAAGUGAUGUGAUGUGAGUUCAAGCUAAUAUUUGAAAGAAUUGUCUUCAUUGUGUGUUCCGAGUUGGAUUUGGGUAGGUAAGUAUUUGAAAAUAAAGUACUCGAAGUUUCAUACUUAAGGUGCAUUUAAGAUUAAAAUUGGACAGCUAUAGUUUAAAAAAUACAGUAGUAAAGUGUUUGAUAAACACUAAUUGCUACAAGUUGGAUGUUAUGUUGAUAUGAUUUUUCAUUUGUAUGAUAAAAAUUUUAUUAUAUUUUUAAUAAUUUUAUUAAAAUUUAUAUUUACUACAUAUUAUUAAUUUUUGUUUCAUAAUUAUAAUUAUUUUGUCACAACAAUUGUACCUUAAGAGUUAUAUCACCUCAAUCGUAAAUAGUACCUUAAUGCAUUAGGUUAUUUCAGCCACGCCCGGACAUUUUCUGUCGUGCCCUCAAAAUCGUCCCCAAAAUGGUGUUCUGUGUAUAUUGGUUUCAAAUAAACUCUCAGUUAUGGGUUGCUUCCAGGCUGAAGGGCCCAUGUAUGGCUGAGCCUAGUAGUUCUCUAAACUGUUGGGCUCCAGUGGAUCACACAGUCCAACAAAGAACAGUGGGUCCAAUUUUUUAUUUUAUUAAAAGAGAGAGCAUAACUAAAACUUAAAGCACUUCAUAAAAUUCCUGACCACACUUCACUGUAGCAUUAGAAAAUUGAGUAAUGGUAGCGAGGUUCCCAAUGACGUGGAUGGAGUAGAUUUUUCUUUCAGAUUCAUGGGUUUAGAAUUUUAGAUUAUAUCAUAACAUACUUGAUGUAAUUUUUCAUUAGAAUAAAUUUCUGAUUUGUAAUAUUUAUAUCUCAGUGUUAAAAGAAAAGAGAGAGAGAGCCCGUAGCUUCACUCUUCUUCGAAAUUAUCUUUCAAGUUUCAAGAACUCAGUAAAGUCAAAAAAUCCACAAGUGGAAGAAUAAGAAAUAAAUUAAUGGGAUCAGAAAUCUUCCCGCAAAGUUAUACUUUCCAUAGCUUUAACAUAUAAAAGAAUAAGAUGACUCACAUUUUCUUCACCCACCGAUUAGCCAAUCUGUUGAUGAAACUCAUAAAGCGCACACAUUGAAGAAUGAAGACAAAAGAAGUUAUGCCUUUCCUUACUCUUCGCCGCAUGAAAAAUGGAAAAGUAGCCGAUCAAUUCAAGAAUAUAUACCAAAACAUUCCAUCGGUCUUACUUGCAAUGACUAUUCUGCCAUUGCACCAAAAAUGCUCACCGCCGCCUGCCCAAAUUUUGUUUUGAAACAAAGAAAAUGCAGUUCCAAAACACAAAUUGUAUCAUUUAUCGCAACGACUUCAACUCUGCGUGGUAGUUGAUAUCUAGCAACUUCAACCUUGGCUUGCCAGAAGAAGAAGGGUAUUUCAGUAAUUAGAGAAACGUGGACAAAACUAGAGGGUGGAUUGUUUAGGAAACAGGAGGAAUCCACUUAGGAAACUUUUAGAGAGAACGACAAAGCAAGCUUUGAACAAUAUAUAUAUACACAAAAGGUGGUACUAUUUAAAGAGAGGGAGAGAGAGAGAGGGCUGAUGAUAAUCACAUUUCAGUAUUGAGCUGUUGUAAUACUCUUCUAAACCAUGGAUAUUACGCCAAAGCUUAUGCUUUUCAUUUGUAUGAUAAAAAUUUUAUUAUAUUUUUAAUAAUUUUAUUAAAAUUUAUAUUUACUACAUAUUAUUAAUUUUUGUUUCAUAAUUAUAAUUAUUUUGUCACAACAAUUGUACCUUAAGAGUUAUAUCACCUCAAUCGUAAAUAGUACCUUAAUGCAUUAGGUUAUUUCAGCCACGCCCGGACAUUUUCUGUCGUGCCCUCAAAAUCGUCCCCAAAAUGGUGUUCUGUGUAUAUUGGUUUCAAAUAAACUCUCAGUUAUGGGUUGCUUCCAGGCUGAAGGGCCCAUGUAUGGCUGAGCCUAGUAGUUCUCUAAACUGUUGGGCUCCAGUGGAUCACACAGUCCAACAAAGAACAGUGGGUCCAAUUUUUUAUUUUAUUAAAAGAGAGAGCAUAACUAAAACUUAAAGCACUUCAUAAAAUUCCUGACCACACUUCACUGUAGCAUUAGAAAAUUGAGUAAUGGUAGCGAGGUUCCCAAUGACGUGGAUGGAGUAGAUUUUUCUUUCAGAUUCAUGGGUUUAGAAUUUUAGAUUAUAUCAUAACAUACUUGAUGUAAUUUUUCAUUAGAAUAAAUUUCUGAUUUGUAAUAUUUAUAUCUCAGUGUUAAAAGAAAAGAGAGAGAGAGCCCGUAGCUUCACUCUUCUUCGAAAUUAUCUUUCAAGUUUCAAGAACUCAGUAAAGUCAAAAAAUCCACAAGUGGAAGAAUAAGAAAUAAAUUAAUGGGAUCAGAAAUCUUCCCGCAAAGUUAUACUUUCCAUAGCUUUAACAUAUAAAAGAAUAAGAUGACUCACAUUUUCUUCACCCACCGAUUAGCCAAUCUGUUGAUGAAACUCAUAAAGCGCACACAUUGAAGAAUGAAGACAAAAGAAGUUAUGCCUUUCCUUACUCUUCGCCGCAUGAAAAAUGGAAAAGUAGCCGAUCAAUUCAAGAAUAUAUACCAAAACAUUCCAUCGGUCUUACUUGCAAUGACUAUUCUGCCAUUGCACCAAAAAUGCUCACCGCCGCCUGCCCAAAUUUUGUUUUGAAACAAAGAAAAUGCAGUUCCAAAACACAAAUUGUAUCAUUUAUCGCAACGACUUCAACUCUGCGUGGUAGUUGAUAUCUAGCAACUUCAACCUUGGCUUGCCAGAAGAAGAAGGGUAUUUCAGUAAUUAGAGAAACGUGGACAAAACUAGAGGGUGGAUUGUUUAGGAAACAGGAGGAAUCCACUUAGGAAACUUUUAGAGAGAACGACAAAGCAAGCUUUGAACAAUAUAUAUAUACACAAAAGGUGGUACUAUUUAAAGAGAGGGAGAGAGAGAGAGGGCUGAUGAUAAUCACAUUUCAGUAUUGAGCUGUUGUAAUACUCUUCUAAACCAUGGAUAUUACGCCAAAGCUUAUGCAAUACAGAUACCAAUUUAGUGUAGCUGUAGUUGUUUCAUUAAUUCUUGGGUUAUUGUCAUAUGGUGCCCCCCGUAUGCUCACCAUUCUGGCAUAUUUUUGGCCUCUUAUCGCAUCAACCACAGUGUUCUUGCUGUUAAUAAUCGCCUUUGGUGGCCUUUCUCAGCUGGCAAACGAAGCUCAUGGUGAACGGGCUGGUGAAGGACUCCUAGAUUAUGUGGCAGGAGCAGGGCGAUCGGAGCAUUAAUGGGCCACGCUAACAGUAACAAGUAUCAAUAAAUUAAUAAAUGGGGUUGAUCCAUCUCUCAAUCUCAAUCUCAGAAACAUACAUGUAUAUACAUAUAGGCUCACGAAAUUAAAUAUGUUUGAUGCUCUUUAACUAUUGGCCUCCAUCUGUAUACAUCUUUACUUCACUUGCCUUCUUAUAACAUAUUGUCAAAACACUAGACUAUUCGUCAAUACCAAUAUGUUAUCUUGUUUUCAUAGUUUUAUCGACAGUUUAUUGAUCAUAUCAAACAUGAGACCAACGUAAGAUGAAAUUUUCGACAUCAAUUGAAACUUCAUAUAAGUUCCACUGAAAUCUGCAAAUAUAUCUUCUGUGAACGGAUAGCGAAAUUAAAAGUCCCUUAUUAUUCAUAAUGACACCUCAUUAAUCAAGAUAAACGCUAUCGAGAUGUUUUCAGUUUGAUUUGUGAUUAAGAUGACUGUGAUAGCUUUUUGGAAAUACAUGGUUGUGAUGACUUUUAUAUCAUGCGCAGCUAUCAAAGUUCCUGAUUGAUCUGCAUUAAGCCGUCGAGAGCGAAACAUCUUCCUUGCUGAUCUUUCCCAUUUACUGAGCCAUGUAAAUUAAAGAUUCUGCGGCACUGUAAUCAAGUUGGAGGGGAAGUUUUGCUAUAAUUUAGGAGUUUGUAUGAAUGUCAAAUCGAUAUAUACCAAGAAGUGGCAUGAGUAUGAAUAUGAGAGAAUUCAACAUUUUGUAACAUGAUGUUUCAAUUAUUUAUUAGGCGGGCUAAUAUCAAGUCAAUAUAAACCCGAUACAUACGACCACGAAAUCAGGAUAUUCAGGUUUUUUUCUCACUCAAAACUUUUCUUUUCCUUUGAAAUUCAAGAGUGGGCCACCCCAGAGAAAACCCAACAAUUUUGGACCUUAGGCAGUUGAAUGGACAAGCUGGCCCAACCCGUAAACGAAAUGGGUUUGAGUGCAGCUCCUAACAUCCUUUUAAAACUCCCACAAAACCACACCAUUUUAUAUUUUUAGCUAUUUCUUUGAUGAAAAUUAUGUCAAAGCAUUCUAAUAGAGUGUUAAUUGAAUUUUACUACCAUCUAGAAUAAAUUAAUUAAUUUAUAAAUGUUGCGAGAUAUAUUUAUUCCUCACUUGAUAAAAAUAUUAUGUGUUUCACACUAAUAACUUUAGGAAGUGAAUUACAAACGUAGAUACAUAAUUUGUAGUGUGCGCGUCUCACACCUCUUCAAAUAUAUUAUAAGUUGUGCAUUACACUAUUCAAUUUAUAAGAUGUCAUGUUCACAACACCUUAAAAUUGGAAAAGUGUGUUGCUAAAUGCACGACCAUUUCAUAUGCUUCAUUAAGUAUAAGUAGUAAUCAUCAUUUGUAAUCACAUUCAGCUCAGAGAAUGAGAAAUAAGAUAAAGAGCACUUAAGAUACUUCACAAUCAUAUCACAAUAGUAAACAUACUAUUCCAGAAGUAAUUUGCUUCUUCACCAAUUCAAGCUUAUUAUGAAUCCAUAAAAAAAUAUUUAUAUCAUAUAUUAGGAUUUAAUCAUUUAAAGACAGCUAGGACCUUAGGAUUCAUGAUUUGUUCUCCCGACAAUAAAAUUAUGAUUAAAAAAAUAAAGUUUUAUAAAUAUAUUAAAGGGGUGUGAAAAGUAUUACUCAAUGGGUAAUAACAUCUAACUGCAUUUAAUUCCUUCAACCCUCAAAAGCCACCAUUAAGAUACAACAUCAUACGAAGUAUAGUACACAAUAUACAGACAAUAAUAUAUAAAUUUAUUUGAAACUAACCUCAAAGAAUUCUCUCUAGCUGUUAGGCAUUGAUUAUUCAAUAAACCCCGGUAUAUCAAUUGAUACUUACUCUUGUGUAACUCGAAGAUCAUUAGAAUGAAUAAAUGAGGAAAAUUACCAUUUGUAUAUCAAGCUUUUUAAUCUUUGUAUUGUAACUAUUUAAUCGCUAGCCUGUAAUCCAACUUAGCAGAAGCAUUGAAUUCCAUGCAUUAGAAUUAUUAAAAAAAAUUAUUAGUUUUUUUGAUAUACUGAUAUGUUACAAUAAGAACUUUACUAAUAUUUUACAACCAGACAUCAAUCGGGACUCUCCUUUAUAAUUUUAAGAUGACUACUAAUAUUUUACAACCAGACAUCAAUCAGAACUCUCCUUUAUAAUUCUAAGAUGACACAGCCCGAACAACAAUUCUCACUUUAAUAUGGGAGGAAAAUCUAUUAUACUCCUAAAAUGGGGAGUCAAAUAAACCUCUAUCAAAAGGGAGUUGAGUCCCAACAAUGAUUGGGACUUGAACUCAUACGCCCAAGAAUUAUAUCAAUCUAUUGGACGCAUGAGUUACCAAUGAGUUACAAAUCUAUGAUUUAAAGCCGACUUACUCAAGAAUUUUAUUUAUUUGUUUAAAACAUUUAAAGUAUAACAACAGUUAACUACGUAUAUUAUGUAAUUGAUGUGAUUGAUGGCUUAUUAACCUGUGAAAAAUUCAAGUUAUAUGAUUUAUAUGGAAUUUGUUUAAAAAGUCAGGGAACCGGAAAUAAUUAUCCCCAUAAACAAAGAAACUUACGAGUUGAAGUAGAAGCACAGCAAGACUGCAAGAGCGAGGGUUUAAGCCCUUCCAUCUCUUUCACUGGUAAGUAGUUUUUUCCUUUAUCUGCUGGUUAUUUCAUAUAAUCUGGAUCUUGCAAACCUUCAUCUUAUUAAAGCUUAAGCCCUUUCUUUGUUCUUUUUAUUUUUAUUUUUUCUCUCUUUGUUUUUAUUUUACUGUAAUUUUCAACACAAAACUCAAUUAAAUUUGAUCCCUAGUUGCAUAUAUAACUCUUAGCUCUAAUGGAUAUGCAUAAAGUUAAUUAUUUGAUAGAACAAAUAAACCCUUUUCAAUGUAUUCUUCUUAAUUUAAUUUAAUUUAAUUUUUGGUUUUCAAGGGUUUAUAGUGCAUGCUAGUGGGGGACUUCGAUAUUUGAGUUUCUUUGGUUGUAAAGAGGUGUACAUAUAGUGUUAUUUAAUGGCAUUGCUAACUUCAAAAAAUAUAUGGAUGAGGAGGCAACAAUGUCCAUGUGGCGAUUGGAAAUGUUAUGUUUCUCAUGAAGGAGAUUCUGAAGAGACAUCAGUAGCAUCUCAAUUGGCUAAAAAUGAUGAAAAUUCAUUGAAUGAAUCUAUGGUUGCGCCCUACGUAGGAAUGGUGUUUAAGAGUGAUGAUGAUGCAUUUGAGUAUUAUGGUAAUUUUGCUAGAAAAAGUGGAUUCUCUGUUAGGAAAGAAAGGUCAAGAUUGAGCCCCCAAUUGGGUGUAUAUAAACGUGAUUUUGUUUGUUAUCGUUCGGGGUUUGCUCCUAUGAGGAAGAAGCCUGGUGGUGAACACCAUAGGGAUAGGAAGUCCGUGCGGUGUGGAUGUGAUGCAAAGAUGUACUUGUCGAAGGAAGUAGUUGAAGGAGUUUCUCAAUGGUUUGUUGUGCAAUUUAGUAAUGUUCAUAAUCAUGAACUUUUGGAAAGCGACCAAGUGAGAUUCUUGCCUGCUUAUAGGAAGAUUCAGGAGGCCGAUCAAGAGAGAAUUCUAUUACUUUCCAAAGCUGGGUUUCCAAUACAUCGUAUAGUAAAGGUGUUGGAGUUGGAGAAAGGGAUUCAAGGUGGACAGUUGCCUUUCCUGGAAAGGGAUGUUAGGAACUUUGUUCAAAACCGUAGAAGAGCUGUUCAAGAAAAUGAUGCUUUACUUACUGAGAAAAGAGAGACUGACACAAUGGAACUACUAGACAUCUGCAAGGCUACAAACGAGACUGAUGAAUACUUUGUUUAUGAUUUUACAGUCGAUGAGAACAAUAAAGUUGAGAACAUUGCCUGGUCUUUUCCUGGCUCUGUUCAUGCAUACGCCAUGUUAGGUGAUGUGGUUUAUUUUGACACAACUUAUAGGUCUAUAACUUAUGGUCUGAUUUUUGGAGCUUGGCUUGGGAUUGACAGCAACGGAAGAACAAUAUUGUUUGGGGUAGCUCUGUUGCAGGAUGAAACACUCCGUUCCUUUGCUUGGGCCUUGCAGGUUUACUGCCAAAGUCUUUUAAACUAAAUGUUUCUUCAAAUAUCUUUCAUUUAGCAAUUUUAUAUCUUCGCUUUUUGUUGCAGACCUUUGUUCAUUUUAUGAAAGGAAGAUGUCCGAAGACAAUUCUAACUGAUCUUGAUCCAGGGCUUGGAGAUGCUAUAAGAAGUGCAUUACCGAACACUAGACAUGUAAUAUCUGUAUGUAAUAUUCUCCCCAAGUUAUCUGGCUGGUUCUCGCUCUUGCUGGGAUCUCAGUUUUCAGAAUUCAAAUCUGAGUUUGAUGCAUUAUGCCAUGUAGAGAGUACAGAAGAUUUUGAACUCCAAUGGAGUCAAAUGGUUUCCAUGUUUGGACUUGGUUCAGAUAGGCACAUUGCUUUACUUUAUUCUAUCCGGACAUCUUGGGCACUUUCCUACAUAAGAGGCUAUUUUCUUGCUCGGAUGGCAACACCAGCUUAUUUAAAGUCUGUAGAUGCAUUCUUGAAAAGAAUUUUUGCUGCUCAAACAUGUUUACGUAGCUUUUUUGAGCAGGUAUAUCAUUUUCUUUAUUUUUUUGGGCAAUGCUUGAAUUGAUUUUCAUGUGUAGAUUGUUUAUAGUUUUUCUUGGAAUUCUUGCAGGUUGGUAUCUUUUCCAAUCUACAAAACCAGCCACGUCAAGAGAUGCAGUACAUGCAUAUGAAAACAUGCAUCCCCAUUGAAGAGCAAGCUCGUAGGACUCUUACACCUUUUGCCUUCAAUGCUUUUCAACGUGAACUGGUUCUAGCUAUGCAGUAUAGUGCAUCUGAAUUGGCUAAUGGAACGUAUCUUGUGCACCAUUUCAAGAAGAUGGAUGGAGAACGUCGUGUUAUAUGGAUACCAGAUGAUGAACAGCUUCAUUGUUCUUGUAAGGAAUUUGAGUCUUCAGGGAUACCCUGCAGACAUGCUUUUCGUGUUUUCAUUACAAAGAACUACUUCCAACUUCCCGAGAAAUACUUUCCUAGUAGAUGGCUGCGUGAAAGCUCUUUAGCCUUUUUUUAUGAUCAUGAUGCUCAGCAGAACGAAGAAUGGAUUCAAGAAUUUCAUUCCCUUACUGAAAGACUAUUUGCAGAAUCAUCAAUUACAAAAGAGAGGUCUGAUUAUAUUCGUAAAGAAUUAACAAAAGAGCUUACAAGACUUCUUAAUGAGGUUAGAGAUAUGCCAGAGAGUGAUGGAAUUGCUAUGGAUUUUACUCUUUCACCAACUGAUUGAUUUUACAGCAAUGGAAAGUGUGGAUGGUUGCAAAUAGAUAAGUGAUCACCCAAUGGGUGAAAAAACUUAGAUGGUUAAAUGAAAAUGUUAUCUGGCGAUGCCAGCAGGGCUAGAAUGAGUGUGCAUUCUCAUAGUUUGUUUCAAGCAGACACAUGUAUAUAUUGGGAGGAGCUACAUAGAAGUAAGUAGUAGACUGUAUUAUCGUCCUGCUGCCAACCGGCUAUUCUGGUUUCUAUCAAGAAAGGGUAGUAGAGGCUGCAAAGGUUGUUGCAUUGGGAUAGGUCUCUAUUAAGGUGGUGCACUCUGUAAAUUUCUAAUGUGUGUUUCUAGAUAUGUUUUUGGAUUAAUGAAGAGUAGUUAAUUUAAUUCAUUAUGCUCUUGCGCUUUUGAUUUUACCAGCUUUUAGUAUGUGGUUGGAUAAUGUUUUAAAGUAUAAUGAUAUUUCAUGCAUACUUCAUUAUGCUUCCAUUCUGUUCAUGUGGAGAACCUAAAUGUAGUGGUCCAGGAGUUGAUUGUACAAAAGCUACUUGCUUUGAUUCAAAGGGGAAGCAGAUGAAAGUUGAAUAAAGGAAUGUCCAGCAAGUAAUCAUGUAUUACUUUCUUUUUCAUAAUUUGUUUCAAGAAUUAUCUGUCAAAUAUUAUACAUCCUGCACAUUGUGGAGUGGCUCCAUGAUCUCUGUGGAUGUAUAUUACUUUAAGGAUGCUGCACUGUAUUCUGGAUGUGGAAUUAAUGGUAAGAUAGUAUGGGCACAACUCACUUUAGUUAGUAUAGUAAUUACAUGGAGGUACUGCUCUCUGCCUUUGUAGAGUGUUGAAGUCAGGCAGCUAUAGAUAGUCUACUGUUUCUAAAGGUCAAGGCUAACAGCAAGUACAACUUUAUUCUUUUAAAAACUUGGGAAAAAAUUUCUGAUGGAUAUGCUACACAACCUUUUGUAAAUUUAUACGCAAGUAUUUUUUCACUUGAGCUUUUAUGAUGCAGGCUUUCACCAUGUUUACAGGUUUUUUUUCCAAAUGAACUUGAGGAUCAAAUUGAUAGAGGAGCAGCUUGGCAUUUUGACUUGGUAAUAGUCGUUGCCAUUUUUAUGAAUAAUUUAACUCCAUACAAGUUUCAGUUUUACCAACUUGAGCCAUUUCAUUUGGUACUGAAUUAUGAAUCUGCAGGAACAAAAAAUUGAAUGGCAAUAAGGCAUGACAUACGGACCAAAAUGAAAUUUUCACUGACAUAUUUCAGCGUUACCGAGUGAUUAGCUUUUACCCUAAUCUGAAAAAAGAAAAAGAGAAGGUGAUUAGCUUUCACCCACCUGAAUGAUUUUCAAAUUUCAUAGUCCUAAAGUUUUGGGCAAAAUUGUACUGAUAUUUGUACUAUCAGCAUUACAUUACUUUUUAAGAUUGAACACUUUUCUUUUUCAAGUGUUGCAUAGUUGAAUAAUUUAAUUGUCACCAUUUGCAGACAGGAUGGAACUUGUUUCUCCAAGUUGGCGGUUAUGAAGCCUUUCUACAUUUCUCCCCUCCAUAACUCCCUGCAACUUUGCAGGUAUGCAUUUGGGACUUUGCUAGCUUACAGAAUCUGUAAGUUACAGACUGCAGCAUCAGCCGUUGGAUGUGGUUGAAGGUGGAGUGAGAAAUUAAACAAUAGAAAUCGGAUGGUGGGAGAUGUUAGUUACAGAGUCCGCACCAUAGACAGGUCCAUGCAUUUGAUAUGAUAUGGAUUCAAUCGCAAUACUCUUCAUUUUUCAUUCAGAAGAGGGUCUCCCUAAUAAAAUGUCCAUGACCAAUGUCCCUCAUAUUUGUAAAUUAAAUUUUGUCAAAAGAGAUCAAUAAAAAAAGCUGCAAAGUUCUAGCCACAUAAGUGUAAGAACCUCAUCGACUGGUCGGUUUUCAUUCUGUACAAAGUGGUUCAUGACAAAUGGCAAUACUUACCUGCUGUUAAAUAUAUAAUGUUGAUUGUCGUUUUAGCUUUGCCAAAAACUGUCAUUCUCAAAAUUUGCAUUAUGCUUCUAUAAUUGAUUUUUUUUGGUGUCCGUGACCAUGAUCAUAUUUUGUGUAUCUCGAACAAGCUUUUGUUAAUAUCUCUGUCCCAGGCUCGAAACUAAAGAAACCUGGGAUGGGCCCACAUUUUGCUAAACCGUCGGGCGGCUACAAUAAAAUGAGUAAUGAUAUAACCACAAACUCUUGUACAAACUUAUCAUGUACAAACUGAUGUGCCAUGAUAAAAUUGGUUGAAUUAAAUAUCUCUUGACCCACAUGAUUUAUUUUCAUUAUUUGUAUUUUCAUUCAACCAAUAAAUUAAUGCCACAUCAGUUUGUACAAAAUAAGUUUGUAAAAGAAUGUGUGGCUGUAUCAUCACUCCAAUAAAAUUGCAUUAUGAACAAAAGCUUGUGGUGUUCCGUGUUCAUGAGAGGGCCAUAGGGGCGUGUUUGGCUUCAAGGAAAUGGAAGCAUAUGGAAAGUCGGCCAGGGUCAUUUGGUAUAAUUAUAUUUUUUUGGUCCAUGGAUUAGAGGUGUAUUAAAGGUAUGUUGGUUUAACGAAAGGGGUGUGUUAAAAGCUGGUUUAAGAGGUUUUAAUACCUGAUUAUGAUAUUCGCAAAUCAUGGAAAUUUGCAUAGGCUUUAGAAUCUGGUUCUCCUUUAUAAUUUCCAAUGGGUGCAUAUCUUUGUGGGUCUUACAAAAUCAUUCAUUUGAAAAAGAUUUAUGACUUCAUAUAAAGAUUUGUUCUCAUUUUUGCCACUGUCAAACGAACUUUUUCUUUUCUAAUUCAUUCGGAAUCUAUCAAAUUUUUUUUUUCUUCUUUCAUGUAUUAUACGGUGGUUUCCUCUCAAGUUUGAGGUUUAGAUCUGGAGGAUUCCAUGCUAUAAUCUACCGAUCUUAAUAGAAAAUUCAUCACAACAUCUGUUGGAAGAAUCAAAUUAAGAAUGACAUGAAAGAUAUGUCCAAUUAAGCUCAAAUCAUGUAUGUGCACAACAAUAUUUGUUAGUGGGGAUAUUCUUUGCACUGGUAUAUUUCUUUGAAAAUGUAUCUUUAUUACACUAGUUUUCAUCCUGACCUUCUGUGUGAAAAUACAAUGAUUUGACCAAUUAGUUAUUAUAAUUGAAUCGUAGUAAACAGAUCUUCACUUUUUUUUUUUACUUGUAAAGCCGUUCUUUCUAGUAUUUUCCAUAAAAUUCAAGCCGCGAAUCAUCCAAAAGUAACAGUAGGUAUAAUUUUAUUCUCACUGCAAUUCAAGGAAAUCAAGUAUCGGGAGAAUGCUACCUUACAGAUACGGUAAUCUAGCUAACAUAAUUGAAAUAAAAGAACAGACAAUUAUUAAAGAAGUGCUAAUUAAACUAGCUAGAAAUAUAGCAUGAAAGAAAUGUGUACACGGCAUCCACAUUAAACUUUCCAAAAAGAUGACAUAGAAGAAGGGAUCAAAACUCUACAAACAAACAACAGCAGAAAGGACUAAUUAUAAGAUAAAAACAUGAAGGCGUAACUACUAAUUAGUCAUCUUAAACAAGGAAAGAAAGCAGAUUGGCAAUUGUUGAUUUUAGAUUAAUGAAAAUUAUACUGCAAAAAGCUGUUGUUGAGCUUCAAUCCUGAUUUCUUCCUUCAUUUUCCUUAUAAACUCUUCAAUUUUCUUGUUUAACUCAUCCGUAGUUGGUUCAUAUACUGCUUGUGCUUUUGCCUCUUCUUCUGGUACCACAGGUUCUUCAUCUUCUGGCAUCGAAACUUGAGUGCCUUCUGUGACUUGGACUUGUUCUUUUUGUUUCUCUUGUAUUACUUCUUCUGCAAACAAUUCGCUUUCUUCUUGUUCUUGUUCAGCUACAAGUGCACCAUUUGCCGCGGGAGGAAGUUCGUUAUUAACAUCAACGGAUGCUUCCACCUCUCGCAAUAAAUCGGAAGCCGAAAGACGCUGAGAAUCGUCACCAUCAUCACCAGCGACGUAAGCCGACGCUGGUGUCGAAGUGCUGCAAGAGACCAAGCUGGUUUUCGCAAGAAGAGCAAGGAUUCCAUUGCAAAUGAGGAACACGUACUUCCUCUCGAGAGUGUGGGUGAAGAAUGAGAAAAGGAACGUGGAGAAACAGACAUUGGAGGAUUGAGGAAAGCCUGCGGAGUAGCAAAGAAUCAGAGAAAAUAUGGAGACUGAGACAACAAGUUGCACACUCCUUUUAUGCUGCGUUUACUUUUUGGAUUGGAGUGGGAAUCCUGAGGAGUGGGAAUCCUUGGAUUAGGAGUGUGGAGUGGGAGUGAGAGUAGGGUGUUUACUUAGACUAAAUGAAAGUAUGGAUUGUCAAUUAGAAUCCCAAUUAUUUAUUUACUUUGUCUUGGAUUGGGAGUAAAUUGUUUUAAAUUACAAUUUUAUCCUUAUGUACAGAAUUAUAAUUUGUAAUUAAAAAAUUAAUAAAAAAUAUAUUUGGAAAAUAAAAUAAAUAUUUUAUUAUAUUUAUAAAUUAAUAAUAAUUACUAAUAUUCUUAAUUAUGUAAAUCAUAAUUUUUUAUUAAUUUUAAUUUAAAUUAUGUGAAUAAAAAUUAUUAAUAAUAGCAACACAAAUGAAAUAUUAUUAUUGAUAAUAUAGUACAAAAUUAAUAUUUUUUGAAUAAAAUAUUUAUUAUUAUUAAAUAAAUAAAUAAUUAAUAUUUAUUAAAAUUAAUGUUUAAUAUUAUUAAUUUAAAUAUAACAUUUAUUUAUUUUUAUUUUAUUAAAUUUAAUAAAAUAAAUAUGAUAUAAUUAUUAUUUUUAAUAAAUACUGCUGAAGAAUCCACACUCCACACUCCCACUCCAGAAAGUAAACACUACCUUAAGGAAGCGGCUCUUGUUCAACUUCAGGCUGUGCUCGUCAAAAGCUUGAAGCUCCAACUCCUUGAAUUCAUCCAUAUCUCGGUCUUGGGACUUUUGGUUAUCUUGUUUAAUUUGUGUGCGAGAGUGAAAAAAGGGUAACUUCUCUUACAAGUGCUUUCAACUGGGUCGGUGUCUUUGCCUUCGGUGUUUCGGGUGCAAAUGACACGGAGGCACCUGAAAUGAGAGCCUACUACAGUUUCAUGGGCUAUACAUGAAAUUACAGAUAUGGCCUUACUGAUUUUCUUUCCACCAUGACGUGUGGAACUCGGACAAGAAUUGUGGCCAGAAAGAAAAUCAAGGGAUUUACUUUCCUGUUGUCAAUAUGAAAAACCAUUCUACAGCAAAUUUAACCCUGCGCUCAAUCAAUCCCCAAUCAAUCCCACAGUAAACUGAGCCUACAAACCCAAAUUGACCCUUGGAAUUAAUUAUUUGUGGGCUCCACUCCUUUAAUGAGAGAUAUGAAUUGAGCUUUGUUUUGUGCAUCGUGUGUUGCACGAUUUUGUUCCUUCUGUUGCAAGCUUCGGCCCAAUAUUAUAUAUAAUACAUUCCCGUUAAUUAAAAGCUAUACGAUCGAUACGUAUAGAGAAUUCUUUAGAUGUAUGAAAUGUUAAAAAGCGGCAAAAACAAGCAACUUUGAACUUGUUUUUACUACCAAAUUUCUUUGCGCCCCCUCAAACAGGGGCUCUUGUCUGCCGUACACGCAGUACCCUGCAAUACAAGCAAAAUUCUUCCGGUUCAAUUUUCAAGCAAACCAAGCUAAUCCAGGUUAGCUUUCUUCUUUGUCAAGAAACUGCUGAUGUACGUAAUGUCAUUAAAUUAAACCACACUAGUAGGAUCAAGAAAGAAACAAAACCAUCCCAAUUAAUUGUUGAAUUUAAUUUAUUCGGUAAAUUUUUGCUUGCCAUAGCUGGCUAGGACUAUACAAUUAAUAAACUUCUUGAAAAACCGGGAAUAAUUUUACAUGUGCACUCCAUUGACUAAUGUCCAUGUCAUUUUCAUGCUAGCACACUAUGGUAUUAUUGACGAAAAAAAUAUUUAAAUAUAUUAGUAGUAUACAAAAUUUCGACACGAAAAGACAUAAUAAUAAUGUUGAUUCAAAAAUAAUAAUAAAUGAAAACGAAAUGGUAUUAAUCUUUUGACGAAAUUAUAAUUUAAUAGAUAUUCUGCAUGCUUACUUCUGAUGUUUCUAGCUAGUACAUCAAUAACCAUUCGAAUACUAAACUUCAAUUCAGAUCACACUUUUUCGCCAAUCGAUCACUGAAUUUGAAUCUAUAAUUCUUUCAAGUGAAUAAACAAGGAGCACUACAAAUUGCUUGUGUAAAAGCAAAGCAUUAUUAUUAAUUAUUAUUUUCAAUGAACUUUGACUAGAGCAUGCUGCGAGGCAUUAAUUUCUUAGUUAACAUUUACACACCACUAAUUAAUAUUUAUCAUAUGUAUCGCUGGCAAAAGAGAAAUAAUAUUAUUACAUAUUUUUAAAAAUUUUGUCUGAAGUUUCAUGUCAAAGGAUAUGAUAUGUGAUAUGUUAUUCAUUAAGUAAUUGAUAAUUUUUCUUUUAGGUGAAUUAAUUAAUUACAUAGUUUUACUCUCUACUUUAUGAACAUUACGAAAUUUUGAGAUAAAAUUUUAAGAUGUCUACUAAAACAUGAUCUUCUUCACAAAAAUGCUUUUAACUUAAUUAAUCUAAAUUCAUUUAAAUCAUAUGAUGCCUUGAAACCAGAAAUCAGGGCUAAAACUUAUAACAUAAGAAGGAGCGUGUAUAUAUAUAGACAUACACUUGCAUACAGCCAUACACACAUAUUACAGAAAAAGUAAUAUAAGUACAACCAGUUUUUUUUUUUUUUUUUUUUCCCCCCUUUUUUUUUCCCUCCCGUCAGGUAAGUCACUUUUUUAUUUAAGAGAAAGACCAUGUUACAUAAACAAGAAUAACAAAACCAUAUGCGCCUUAUGAUAAAGUAUAAAAACAUGCGUGAUUAAUAUAAUUAAGCGACAAUAGUACUGUAAGGAUAUCUCAAAUCAAAACCUAGAGCUGGUUAUAAGUCAAUAUUGAUCUGGCCAUAAAAAUGCUCCCAUUGCGAAUGCUCUCUUUUCAUCAGGAGUCCCCUGGAAACAUAGGCCAUAUUCUCUGAGAAGCAUGUCAAGCUUCCAGUCCUCCAUCUUCUCAUAAUCAGCCUUCGAGUAUCGAGGAUAAUGAAGCGGCAGUUGAAACCCAGAAGCACAAGCUUCAACACUUUGUGAUAAUCCAUCGCUGACCUUUGAAUCUGAUGAGACUCCAUUUACUUGAACUUGGUGAUGAUGAUCGUUUUGGUAUCCCACAACACCGUUACACUCUAUUUUGUUGUCGUUUUGAUGCCCUAGUACAUGACAUGCUGUAUGAAGAACCCACCUCAGAGCCAUUCUCUCUCUCUUUUUGUUUACUCUCUUUCUGAAGCUUAAUUAAAGCUUUUGUGCAUUUAUAUAGACCCAUGAUAGUUAACGACAAAACUGCGUGAUUAGUGGUUUCACGAAUUAAGCAAAAAUGAAAAAGAAAAAAUGAUUGGCUUGCAAAAUUAAUUAUAUUAAUUAUGAUGAAAUAAUGCUUGCUUGUAUUAAUGGCCAUCUUGAAAUGGGUAUAUGGAAUGCGGAGAUAGGCCACUUAAAUUUUGGAGUGGUUAUUUGUCCACUUCCGUGUACGUGAAUAUGACAUUCUCUCUCGAUCAUUUCUCAUAAUAAUAAAAUACAUACAUACAUAAUUGAGUUGCGUGUUAGAGAAAGCAUUGGGAGUGGGCAUGGCCUCUUUCCCUUUCCCUUUCCCCUUCCCCUUAAUUAAUUUGCCUCUUCGACGUCAUAUUGGUUCAAUAAUCAAUAAUGUUGAGUGGCUUUCUACAUAAGAUUAAUUGAUUCUGAUUCUUGCAGAAUUGUACUCCUCAAUAUGGCUAAAAAGCAAAAUGUUAAAUGGGAACGGCCUUAAAAGCUGAUCAAGUGAAGAAAAAUUGAAUUAUUGAUUGGCCUUAUGUAUUUUUCAGGAUAAGAUAACUACCCAGGGGCAUGCAUAAUAAAUGCACGUAUUUCAUUAAAAUUAAUAAUGGGUUUGUUUCAACCACCCUUGAGGAUAAUGAUAAGGAGUGCUUUGGGAAUUUGAUUAAAUUGAGAUUUUUUUUGUUUUUUUAUUACAUCUGUGCUCUUAAAUUAAAUUAUGUGGCUGUCAUUGAUCAAACCAGGUACCCUGCUCUUGAAUCUUCUUGACAUAUAUAAUUAUUAUCAAAACUUGGAAAAUUAAAUGUACGUGCGGUCAAUUUUUGUUGGAUUGCUGUCGUUUUUUUGCCCAAGAUGUCAAACCCCUAAUUAAGAUGGCAACAAUUUGACCUCUUAAUCAGUAAUGGUGCGUUCACUAAUUGGAAUGGGUUGAAAUCGGAAUGACUUGAAAUCGAAAUGGGCUGAAAUGAGAAUCAUGAAUAGGAAUCAGAAUAACUUGUUUAUUUGAGCAGUAAGAUUUGGAAUCGGAAUUAGAUUCACUUCCAUUGAUUUGUUUACUUUGUCUUGAAAUUAGAAUAAAAUAUCAUAAUUUAUUAAAAUACCCUUUUGUUAAGUAUUGCUCUUGAUAUUGUGCUUGUUAUUAUUUAAUAAUAAUAAUAAUAACAACAACAACAAUAACAAUAACAACAACAAUAAUAAUAAUAUUUUAUAAAUAGACAAAUAAAUAAAUAAAUUGAAGUAAGAACAAUAAAGAUACAUAAAAUGCAUAUAUAAAUUCAGAACAAUUUUCAAUACAACAUAGGUUCCUACAACGAUGAUACAAAUAUAAAACAAAUAAAAAAGGAAAAAACACUUGGAAUAAUGGAGAAAGUCGCAUGUCAGAGACGAAUCUGAGAGAAACCGAUCAGCAACCAGCGACGAAUUAGACUGGUGAGUGACGCAAGAGAACCGGGUUGACGAAUCCAAGAGAAACCGAGCAGAAGUUGCUGGUCAGUGACGAGCUGAUGAUUCCGGCCAAUGAGCUAACAGGAAAGAAGAAAACAAGUGAUGAAUUCGGCCAGUGAGCUGAUGAAUCCAGAAAAUCAUGAUUACUUGGAAAGUAAAUGAUGUGUUUUUAUUGCAUUUUAGUUAUAUUUUGUAUAAACAUCUAUUUUAGUUUAUUUUUAAUCAAUUUUCUUUGAUUUAGAAUAAUUUGUGUGCUUAGAUCAUAUGCAUAAUUGUAGGUGACCGAAAGCUCAAAUUUCAAGAAAGCAAUGCUACUGCAAUAGGCCUGCAAAAAUAAGGAAAAAACUUGGUUACAGAAGAAUUGAAACAAAUUUGGAACAAUACAGUUGCUAUAGCCGUUGUUGUAGGAUCUGUUGCUGUAGCAGUCCUGGAGCAUUGACAAUGAAGAUAUGAAGAUUUCGCGCAAGAUACUUAAAUAAUUACGAUCUGAGGUUUCCUAAUCUGAAAGAUAUGUGCCCUAAACUUCCGUUUACCCUAAUUUUCAGCUAUAAAAGAAGCACACAAGCAAAUGAAAAAAGAAAGCUGUUAACCAAGGAGAAAAACCGAAAAAAAAGAGUAAAACAGAAUUAAAGAGCAGGAUUUAGGGCUGCAUCAGAGGAGAACACGCAGAGAUUAAUCGGGAAACCAAUCCCUCUUAUUCUUGUUUAUUCUUUAAUCAUGAGGAUGUAUUUGAUGGCUAAAACUCUGUUGUUUAUGUUUUUUUUUUUUACAAAUUAUUAACUAAAUUUAUUUGUGGUUGAGUAAUAAACAAUCUUGAUGGUUUAUUGACUGAAUAUAUGUGUUGCUGCAUAUUUGCUAUAGCAUUUUGUUUUGAUAGUAUUUAUUUUUAUUCAUUAUUUCGGCUGACCGCCCAUUUAAUGAUACAAGCUGGGAAAGAGCCACAAAAAAUCUAUCUUAGUGGAACAUAUCAUAGCAAUACUUGGUUUUAGAUUGGAUUUCCUGAGUUGAGUUUUACUUGAUUCCAAAUGGGUUAUGCUUAAUCUAAAAUUAGUGAUGAACUAGACAUGAAGAUUCAUUUUGUAGGGAAAUUAGAGCCUAAGCGUGUAAUGUUAUAUCUUAUGUUGGCAUAACGAUUGGUCACUGUUAGGUUGCAUAAAAGUAUAAGACAUCCAACAUGCGACAACUGAGGGUACAAUAGGAUUAUACCCAGUGCUGUAGCAGAUGUUGUAGCAACCAAGCCUAAAAUUAGAAGAAACGGUUACAACCAUUAGGUGAGUUGAAUCACUCAACUACUUCAUUUUCAUUGGUUUUAUCCUCGUGUUUGCUGUGAGAGUUUCCUUUAUUUUAUUUUAUUUAUUGCAUUUUUGUUAUUUUAUUAGUUUUAGUAGUUGUCUCAUUUUAAUUUGAAACAAUCUACACUGUUAAGAUUGUUGUAGCAAGUCUGAUAACAUCAAUCCCUGUGGAGACAGUCUUGAAUACUUAUCAUUAUAUUACUUGUUGUGUACACUUGCAUAUUGACGCCAAUAAUACAAGAAAAAGUUGCAACAGAGGGAGAUGAGAUGGAAACUUCUGGUUUGUGCAUGAGAGAGUGUGUGCUUGAAUCGUUUACUUUUUUUUUUAAUUUAUAUUUUUCAAUGGAAAUAAAGGAUAUUUUUGGAAAAUAAUAGGGGCGCUUUCAUCAUUGGGGGUAAUGGAGUUCUGAUUCCAACCUCCCUCCACUGGAAUCACAAUCCGGGUAAUCACUCCCCUUUUUGCGUGGGAACCACACGUAUGAUUCCCAUUCCUAAUUUCAACUUAACAAGUAAAUGAGUUUAUCAUUCUGAUUCCAUCAUUCUGAUUCCUAUUCCGGGAAUGUAAACACACCAGAAGAGUGAAGUGUAAACUAAUGGGCUCUCCGGCGGCCCAUUUUCCGCUUCCCCUCUGAUGUUUCAAAUCGGGCAAACUUCUUUUUACCCUCAAUCCCCCAUUAUUUGAUACCUGAAGUAUUAUGUAUUUUAAUUUAAUAAAUAAUUAUAAUUAUUUAGUUUUUGUUUUAAUAAUUUCUACCCUACUAUUUUUGUAAAUUCACCUCACUUUUAGAAAAAAUAAUUAUAAUAAGUUCUCAUUAUUCUUAAAAUCUGCAGGUCAACAAAUUUUUUUGACAAUUAAUAGGUUAAAUUAUUUUUAUGAUUUUUUUACUUAGGUACUUUUGAUCAUUAAGGUUGCUUUAACAUAAGUUUUAUUUGACUAUUUUACCCUAAUAAAUGAUAAUAUAAAAUGAACAAAUUACCCUAAAAAAUAUGAGCUCUUAUGGCUAAUACUUCAGUUCUUUUAUUUUAUUUUAUUUUAUUAAAUCUCCAAACUUCUUCUUUAUUUGCAUUUUGUAAAAAUAAUAGAAAAUUAUCAAUCAUCUACUUAAGUUUACAUCAUUAUACAAAAUACUAUAAAAGUUUGAAUUUAUUCAAUUUUGGACCCCAUAUAUGCAAGUUGUAUCAACCAUCCACUGGAAAGAAAUAAUUAUCCUUACAAAAUAACAAAACAAAAAUAAAUACAAAUUAUAUUGGUAUUUAUUUUACAAAGAAAUUCCAUCUUUUCAUGUACAAUUGAUCUACAUUGUAAAUAAUGGGUGAAAAAUCAAACAAAUUUAAUUUUUUAUAGUAAUUUUCAUAACUGUGUAAUUUCUGGAUUAAUGGUUGAUAAUUUUCUUUUGAUUAAAUCUCUAAACUUCUUUUUAUUUGCACUUUCUAAAAUUGAUGUGAACUUAUUGUAAUUAUUUCUUAGGAGGGGUAGAUUUACAAAAAUAAUGGAUGAAAAUAUUAUCACCUCAAUAAUAAACCAUAAAAUACGUUACCAUACUAAUAUUUGUCAUUAAUUUUUAGUUAUUACACGUUCCCUCUGGAUAUUUAAAAAAAAAAGUCAUAUAAAAUAAACCCUGUUGUUAGAUUGAAGAUUUCAAAACUAACGUUUUAUAGCCUUUUCCUAUUUUAUCCCUCAAUCGACAUAUUUAUCUUAUAAAUAAAUUAAUAAAAUAAAAACUAAAUAAAUUUAAUAUUGCAAAUUUUGUUGCAAUAAAAAUUGCAACUAACCCAUUAAAAAUAUUGCUGGCAACUAUACAACAUAAUAGAAACAUACACUAAUAAAACAUAAAAAUAUUCCUCUUUUCUUCAUUGAAAUAUCAAAAGCCUAAAGAAUAAAAUCUCACAAAAAAAUUAAAAAUAAUACAAGAAUUUCUGCAAACCUAAAAAUUACAAGUCACCAAGUCUACGAGCAGUCGAUAAAAAUUUGUAAUUUUUUAAAAUUCAUUAGUUUAUGUCAUGAUGGGUUAUGUUGAUUUAGGGACAAAAUAGUAAAAGAACUAUUUUAACAUAUUCAUUCUAACCGCUAGAGUUACAUGGUUAAUUGGUUAUGUUUAAAAUGUCAGGAGAUAAGUGGGCAAUGUUUCGAGAAAUAGAGAAGAAAGGGAGAGGUGAAGUUUCCCAGAAGGAUUUACCCUUAACAAGUACCAUCACCCUGCUGGAAUAAAGCUACCUAGUCCAAUAUAUGGAAAUUUACGAAUUAGCAUCAAGGAUGUGGCAUGUACAUUAUAAAGUAAAUUUUUAAUAAGGUGCCAGAAAUGUUGUUUGUAGUCAUGGUAGUGGUUUGAAGGAAGGCAGUCUUAGUGUAGCUCGGAUACCAUGUUUGAUAUCAGGUUUUAAAAAAUCCUUUAGUUUUCUCAUUGAGUUCACUGAAUAUAUACAAUACAGGAGAAGAAAUUGUUCAAGUGAAUUCUUAGAUUAAUGCCAACUAAUUCCUAGUAUCAUGUAUACAUCUGUAACUAAAAUAUACAUAAAAGAUCUUUACGAAUGAAAAAUAACAAAUGAAUAAGUAUCAAUGUUGACCAAGUGAAUUAGGCAUUUCUCCUCAGCUGUCUCCACUGUGUUUUGGAAUGCUCCUGCAGCACCAUGGCCUUGGAUUGAAAUCAACACAGAUGGCCUGGCUAAUUUGUACAAAAUCAAGGACCUGGUAGCCACAAUAAGCCAAGACAAUCUUGGUCACUUACAACGAGCUAACAGCAAGCACCAUAGGCAUCAGCCACAACCCCAAAAAAGAGGCUUUAGAGCUGCCCCUAUUCUAUCAACAGGUACACGGCUAACAUCAUGAUUCUUAAAUUUCAACAUUUCAACAUUUUGUUGUCCCUUUUUUUUAUUUUUAACUUAUUAGAUAAAGAAUUCACUUCGUUUCCUUUUUAUUUCAGGGUUAUGGAAUGGGUUUCCGACGAUAUGAACAAUGCAGUGAAUGAUGGAGACGGGGGAGAGGAUGAUGGAAGACCCAUUUCCUUAGUCAGGUACAUGGCCAAUCGAGACAGGGGGUGGAUAUAACUGCAGAGGAAGGACAAAAGAAGGGGUAAAUGGGUAAAGACAAAUUUGCUACAUCAAAUUUACAGAGUACUAACUAGACAUAAUUGUUCAUUUUCAAAAUCGCAGCUGUUGGAUUAAAGUAAUUAAAAUCUAAACGGUUGGCCUGGAUAUGAACAAAAAGUGGGGUCUGGAUCCAUCGUAUCAAAAAAUAAAAUUAAAAAAAUUGAAUUAAUAUUAAACUAUUAUCAUCAUACUUGUAAAAUUAUUAAGUUGCAGUGGCUUGUCUUUGUCCAUGUGGCCUGUUGACUGUUUUUCAUUGAAAUAUUAAUUAGCAUGGUACUGACGCUUUUGUUGUGUUAUAUAAAUAAGUGGAGAGAACUCCCCAGUACCUUCCCUUGGGUUCACGUCUCUUCCGAAUUAGAAUUUUAGAUUUGCUUUGCUGGCUGCACUUGCACUCCCGGCCUGGUGUGCUAUAGCAAGUGAGUAGUGACUAAUAAAUUUUCUUCCGCCCACAAAGCCACUAUAAAUAUAUUAAUUAUUUUCACUCCAUUUUCUACUUCUUGUCAUUUAUCGAUCGAUCAAAAGAUCAACUUCUUGUUUACUCCUGAAGGUUAUAUUCCGCCAUAUAAAUAAUUUUGAAUAAAUUUAUCAUACAUUUAUCAUCUCUCUCUCUCUCUCUCUCUCUCUCUAUAUAUAUAUAUAUAUAUAUAUNNNNNNNNNNNNNNNNNNNNNNNNNNNNNNNNNNNNNNNNNNNNNNNNNNNNNNNNNNNNNNNNNNNNNNNNNNNNNNNNNNNNNNNNNNNNNNNNNNNNNNNNNNNNNNNNNNNNNNNNNNNNNNNNNNNNNNNNNNNNNNNNNNNNNNNNNNNNNNNNNNNNNNNNNNNNNNNNNNNNNNNNNNNNNNNNNNNNNNNNNNNNNNNNNNNNNNNNNNNNNNNNNNNNNNNNNNNNNNNNNNNNNNNNNNNNNNNNNNNNNNNNNNNNNNNNNNNNNNNNNNNNNNNNNNNNNNNNNNNNNNNNNNNNNNNNNNNCAGUUUUUUUUAUGAACAGUUUUAUUAUGAAGUCAAAAUGCAUGGGGUUACAAUAUUCAUGUCGACAUUGACGUUAUAACAAAAUUAAAUUUGCAGGUGAGGUCCGAGCGCGCGCGCGCGCGUAUGAACGUAGUAGGAGGAGCCGAGGAGGAAGAGGUUGAGAAUCGAGAAUGGCACAAGAACUAGUGCAACGGAAAAGCGGAAUAUUGGCCUUUGGAGCCAAGGCUUUGGCUAUAGUACUUCUUCUGGCUACGUUCUGCGGUAGAUAUCAUUACAUGAUGAUGAUCUUAAUUUAAUUAAUUGGCUUAAAAACACAGUGUGUGUAUAUACAGACACUUUUCAUUUCAGAAUUUUAAAAUGCGGGAUAGUAUAGGAAAUCUUUAAAAUUGUGUUGUUUUAAAAUUUAAUUUCAUAAUGAUAAUAAACCUUAUGUUUUUAAAAUUUUCCUGAACUCCAGAACUUUAAAAUUCCAGCCUAUAUAAUACAAUUGUUGCGUAUCAGCAUGACUGAGAUAUUGCAUGCAUGGUUAAAAACUCAACAUUGGCAAUAAUUCGUUUUAUUAUUUGUAGAUAUAUACUUCAAUAUUAAUAUUCCAGCCACGGCUACUUGAUGCAACCGUUGCCUGCUUUGUUGCUCUAUCCCAAGGUGAAGGUCAAGGGACUAUGCAUCACAAAAGUCCAACUACUUAGCUGUAUCGUUUUACAGUAUUAUGCAAUUAAUAUCCCACCACAUAUAUUAUUAAUUAACGAAAAUUCCUGGAUAUAAUAUUGGUAGAUAGAUAUAACUAACUAUUAUAACAAUGUAAUUAAAAUCUUCAUUUAUUAAUUAUAGAAACCAUCAAACAGAGUGAUGCACACAUUACGUAUCGUUCAUAUUAAUGGAGGGUGUUUAAUUAGUUACGAGAUGAGCAUGCAUGCUUGCACGCAGGUGGAUGGAGGAGGGUUAGUUGUUUCCUUUAAUUUGUUCAGUGGAAGCCAGAAGCACUUGCAUCGAUUCUUUCAAAAUCCUUAAAUAUUUAGUGGUCUAAUUUAUGAGUACUUUAGGUUUAAUUUGUGGAAGCAGGUUUAGUUAUCGAGAUUUUGAAAUUAAUGACUAUUGAAUAAAUUAAAUAUGCAUGCAGUGGUGGUGGUGGUGGUGGAUAUAUUUGACGCGGAAGCGAAAGCUGUUGUGAGAGAUGCCGCCGGCAUUAAAAGAGUAGAGCUGCUCGUUUCCAAGGAAAACAGCACUGCCUUCAAUAUCAAUCGGAAGCUAUUGCGCUACUCUGCAGCUGCUGCAGGUAAUAUUAAUGCUGACAUUUCCCAUGAUGCAUUUAUGCAUCACUACGUAGCAUUAGCCUCCUGCAUGCACGCGCAUUCUUCAUUUGUUAGUGAAAUUAAUCUCAGUAUAACGAAUGGAUUAAAAACUAAACGCAGAUGGAAAUAGGAUUGGUACAGCAUGCUCAAAAGAUGACAUAGUGAUAUAUCAAGGGUCAACGGCUCCACUUCCAAAUGGAAUACCGGCGUACACAGUACAAAUCCUCAACACGUGCACAUGUGUGUCAGAGUCAGAGUCAGGUGGUUGCAGCAUCUGCAACAUUCAUGUGAAUUGCGGAUGGUUCAGCUCAGCCCGUCUCGUAAAUCCACAAGUGUUUAGGAGAAUUCACUACGACGAUUGCCUUGUCAAUGACGGGGAAGCUCUUCCUCCUGGACAAGCUCUCUCUUUUCAGUAUGCUAAUACUUUCCAAUACCCUUUGUCUGUCUCAUCUGUUGUUUGCUGCUCUGCCUAAACCACCACCUCUAUGCGUUUGCUUUAUAUUUUAUUUUUAUAUGCCUCGUUGUUAACUUGGUAUGAUAGGCUUAGCUAGCUGCUGUUCUUUUCUUUCUUUUUUUCGUUUUUAUUUUUAAUAAAUGUUACCUAUCUGAUUUGUCUUGUCGUCUAUAUGCAAUAAAUAUAAUGGCUUCCUUCGUGUUCAUGGACAGAAACGAGAUUUAACAUUUAACAAUGUGUACACACUAUUUCAUACCCAUAAAAUAAUAAUCGAUUAGCGGCUAUACGCACGAUGUGUGGCGUAAGAAUAAUAACCUGAUAGGCUGAGCCGAGGUAAGCGCGGUAGUGAAAUUUACGAACGGAUGAAAGGCCCAGGCCCAAACCCCAUGCACAAUGUGCUGCUGCUAGUGCUACCUCCUCAUUCAGUUAUUAAGGGCCCGUUUGGUACCGUUUUGCAAGUCAUGUUUUCGUUUUUAUUUUUAUAAUACACACAUAAAACAUGUUUGGUAGAUUUUUUUCACAAAACAAAUUACAAAACACAAAAUCCGGAUUUAUUAUUAUAACUAUACAACUGAAAAUAAGUUAAACAUGUUCUCUAAAUUUUACAAGCUAAACCUAAAAAUGAAUUAAAAAACAACAAAGAAAUCGUGACCCUGCAGCCCUCACUUUUCUUUUCACUGCAGCCCUCACUCUCAAUUCAGUUCACUGCAGCUCCCUCUUUCCCCUCAAUUUUCUCAAUCCAGUUGCAACAAAUCUCUCUCUUGGUCGCUCUUGGUGUGCUAGCCACUGCCGCUGCUCUUUCUCCGUUGUAACCGCUGCUGCUACUUCGUCUUUGCUCUCUCGGAUCUUUGCUCUCUCGGAUCUUCGUCUACUGCUACUUCGUUGUCACUUGCCGGUAUUUAUUUUGUUUAUGAGCUGAAAUUUUUGAGAGAUGAUUUGAGUGAUUUUUAAUUCUGGAAAUUUCUGAGGUUGUUCAUAUGUAGUGACAAAUUGUUUAUUUAUGAGCUGAAAUUUUUCCUCAUUUAUUUUAGAGAUUGUGAAAUCUCAAUUUGUGUUCAAAAAAUAAUAAUUCUAUUUCCAAGUUUGAUAAUGCAACCUAAAUUAAAAAAAAAAAUCCUUCACAGAUUUGUGCGAAAAGGAAGAAAAAGAAAUGCACGAGAAAAUAAUCAAAUUGUAACCGGCAAUUUGAUUUCAGAGUAGAAUUGAAUUCAUUUUUGCAUAAACUCCCAAAACCUAUUUUCAUAAUGCCAAAUCAUAAUCAAGAAGCUUCCUCUCAUACGAAAUUUUUAUAAUGAAUAAAUUUAUAUUGAUAUAUUAAUUCCAAAAGUAAUAAUUUUGUAUAAAUCACUUGAUGAAUUUGUGGGUCUUAAAUUGUCCUGGAAAAUAUACCCUUUAUGCUAGAGAUCUUUGAUAUUUCCACUAUUUUUUAUGAAGAAAAUAGACAUAAGAGUAUGAGAGGAAUCUUUAUUGGAUUAAAAUGGGUGUUUGAAGUAAAACAAAAAAUUUCAUUGAUGAGUGUUGUGAGAAAUUGAGUUUGUUGAGUAUUUUAAUGAAUUCAAAUAAACUUCACCUCGUACUCAAUAAUUCCACAUAUCUCAAAUGAUAUAACUAGAGUAUUGUAGAUUAAUCAUAUUGGGGGUUAUUACAUUACUGAAAAUUGAGUGGGGGAUUAAUAGCAUGUACUGAAAAUUGUAUGUUUAUAUCUAAAAAUUUAAUAGCAGUGUUUUUAAUUUGAUUAAUAUUUGAUAUAUGUUUUAUUUUUUAUUUUUUCGGGUACCAUUUAGUUUUUAAUGUAUGACAUGUUGCUGAAAUAUGUAUAUGUUAUGUUGAAUUUGAUCAUUAUUUGAUAUGUGUUAUUUUUUUUAAUUUUUCAAGAUAUGGAUGUGCAAGAUUUGGUUACCAACGAUGAAGGAGACACUAGUAAGCCACUUACUAAUAUUAAUUUAUCUCCAGCAAGUGUCGCAGAGAUGAAUGCAACAAGAGAUGAAAUUGCAGCUUUUAUGUGGCAUAAUUACAUACGUAAUGCAUAAUGUGUAUCAUGUAGUUUUUUUAUAAUUAUUUUGUUUAAAUCAUGUGUUGUAAUAUAUAUAUUAAUUAUAUAGUGUAAAAACAAUGACAAUGUCAAACUUCUUUUUAAUUAAUGUUAAUUCUUAAACUUUAUUAUCAUGUAAUUUUUUUAUAUUAAAUUUGGUUAAAUUAUUUUGUUGUAUUUGUGUGUAUUAGCUAAAUAAUUAUUUUAUGACUAUAAAUAUAAUGUAAAUGAUUAGUAAAAAUUAUUUUUGAAAAAAGCAUUACUAAAUGCAUAUUCUCUGUUUUUAUCAUUUUCAACUGUGUUUACCAAACGCAUAUUACUGUUUUCAGUUUUUAAAUAUAUGAUACAGAAAAUGAUACCAGACGCAUAUUUAAAUUCGAGAUACAGUAACUGCAAAACACCAUUUUCGUUUUCGUUUUUAUUCUCAGAAAAUACUGAUUCAAAAACAAUACCAAACAGCCCUAAUUAGCAUAAUGAUAAUAGUAAGGCAAUAAACGAAAACAACGCAUUCUUUUGAUAAUUGCAAACCAAAACUGCAAAACUACAGAUCUAUCGGACAGAAUACAUCGACGAAUGAAUGAAGAAGAUAAGGUUCUUUAUCCAUAAAAAUUAAAAUAGAAGAAAAUUGCUAGCUUAAAAUUGGAAUCGAACUAAAAAGUAACCAAAAAUCUUCCUUUAUUCAUGUCGAAAACUCAUACUAGACUCUCGAUCUAUGUAUGUGUAUGUUAUGAAAAAUGAAUCUAGUAUCCAUAAUCAUAACUAAAUUCAGUGACACCAACCAUAGCUGAAAGUACCUGGGAAAUAAUGAAGAUGGUGCCACCCAAUAUCACCAAAAGCAGAAUUGCAGAGAUGGGGUUCUUGAGCAACUCGAAAAUAGGCUGCAGGAUUGUGUAGAGAGCACCAGUACUCACCGUGAGAGCAUAAAGUGCAUACCUCCUUACAUUUUCCCAAAACUCUUCCACUAAUGGCCCUUGAGGACCAAAAGCCAUUGCCUUGGGGUCAUCCAUCCCCAUCAACAGCAACACAAAUCCUACAGAUAUAGCUCCAACUACCAAUACCCUUGAAUUCCCAUCUGUAAAAGCUUUCACUUGGCUGCUUUUUGGAGACCUCUCAAGAGCUUCUCCUUCUCCAGUCGAUUUGUCUGAAUGUGCAUGUGAUGCGCAUUCACGGAGUAGUGGACGUUUAAGUCUAAUAAGGUUACAUGGAUUGGUUUUGGUUUUGAUGGGCAUGGUGGUGAAAGUUGAAGGAUUUGCACUUGGGUUGGUGAGAUUGGUGCAUCUGAAUCUAAUUGGGAGGAAAUUUUGAGAUUUUAGCGCACUGGUUCUCAUUUUUUUUUUUCUUCCUUUUUUUGAGCUCGGAGAAUUAACAAUUAGUAUGUCAUCAACAACUCUAACACUGCCUAUCAGAUUGAGUUGGUGAUUGGAGCGAACUGGUGGUUGUGGCCUUUUUCUUGAUUUCUCACCUCACCUUAUCUUAUUAUUAUCUAAUUCAUAUUUAUACAUAUACACACUAUAUGCUGAAGCUGAACUGUAGAUUGUAAUUCAGAGAGGGUACAAAUCUACUGACCGUGGGCUUGCGCUGAGGGAGCCCAUCUACUGUCCAUCAUCUACAAGUACUCUAAUCUUGUGCUAUAAAUAAAGUUGUCGUUUUGAGUCUAAUGCAUUUGAAAAAGAAAAAUGAUACAUGAGUGGAUUACAAAUAUAACAUACGUACAUACAUAUCCUCUCGGUCAAAAUAAUUUCACCACCAAUGAAUAAAUACAUUUUGGAUUUGUAGGAUUAUUUCUGUGAAUGAAAGCAUUUUAUUUAUCAAAUCACAUUUGGGACACACACACACAUUAUUCAUUAAAAAAUUAGUUAAAAUUUCAUGAAUUAUUUUUAUUAUUGUUAUUAUUUUAUAUAAACACACAAAUAACACCAUAAUAACACACUUUUUAGCAAAUGAAUUGAAGAAAACGAUUAUUUAAUCAUUAAUGGAUACAAUGAUUAUUUGUAUUCUAAAUUAGACUUCGAAUAUCUUUUAGAUUACUUGGGACACUUAUUGAAGUAAUUUUAAAUAUUCAUAAUACUCUUGUAAAUACUAGAAUAAUAGUCAAUCAAAUCUCUUUACACCUUUUAUUUUCUUUGAACUUUCCCAAUUUUUUCUCAUUGUUACUAUUUAUUUGAAUUUCUUCAUUUCUUCAGCCUCAUAACUAAUGACAGAAUCUGAAAGUGUGGAUGACUAGUCAUGUUGUCUUUGUCGCACAACCAUGGAUGCUUGUUGGUUUUGGUUAAUAACAAAGCAAUUUUAAAUUGCAAUGUCAUAUUUUCUUUUGUUGGCGACGGGAGAUAGUAGAAGCAAAAUUAAUAGGGUAUAAAAAUAUUAGAUAUUGUUUCAGUAGCAGACCAGCCAACACAAUCAGGUUAUGUUCUAGACGAAGUAUAAUUAGAUCUCAUUUUAAUCCAAACAACUUAACGAGAUUUUCUAUAAUGCUUUAGGCAAGAUUAGAUGACGCUUUAAUGUAAAUGACAUGAUGCGAUUUUGAUCGAUAAUUCCAAUGAAAAUUUUAAAAGAGCAGCUUAUUAUUAAUCAAAAGUUGAAGUUUUGAAAAUAAUAAUAAGACCUCACUAUUUAUAAUAGAGCAUAUCUACUUCCCUAAGUUAACUUAAAAAACGAAAUACAUAAUGGAUUCUAAUAAAAAAAAAUCAAAAUACCUAGAAUAAUAAAAUUCUAUAAUCUUAAAAUAACGUCCUACAUCAUAUUUUUUUUGUGCAUUAAUUUAUUCUUUGAUUCUUGAUUUUGAGGUUUUACUUUUACUUUUACUUUUCUUCAUGAAUCUUAUACCUACGCUUGAUAACUUUUUUAACUAUGUUAGUGAACUUGGAAGAGUUUAAAUUAUGAUAUUUUUAUGAAUCUUUGUUAAAUUUACGUAUUUUCUGUUUUAUGAUGAAAUUGUGAAGAAAAAUAUUAGAUUUUAAUUUGCACGUUGAGUAAUUUAAAAUGGGUGUUAAGAUUGAUAAUAUUUAUGUAAUCCUAAUAAAUUGUCUAUGUAGUAUAUUUUAGUCAUUUAAAUUUUUAAUAAAAUGAAAAUAUUUAAAAUAUAUUUGAAAGUGGUCAUGCCCAUUGGGCUCUUAGCCCACACGAGCGUGGGUUCAAUUUCUCAUGGGAAAAUUUUCGUAAUAUAUCUCUUUGAUAAUUGUGAAAGUACAUUUUUCUAAAUUGUGUUUUGAUAGGCAUUUGGGGUGAACUAAAAAUAUACAAUUUUAUGUAUUUAAACUUCCAUUAAAAUUUAGAUCUUCAUGUAUGUAGAUAUAGUAAUUAAAAAAAAAUUCCUAUAAAAAAUAUAUAUUUUAAAGUACAAAUUCUCUCCCCCUAAAUCAAAUGGUAAAGUUUUUGAUUGAUUGAUAGAUGAUGUAUGCAUGUCCAUUCAUUCGUACCAUAAUAAGUGCCAAAGGAAUUAAAAUCGUCAUCGACACUACUAAUGGCUGCCACAUAAGAUUAAAGAACUUUAAACAUGCCACGUGUCAUAACUAAACCCUUGACGAAUAUUAGGGUUCAUGUUAAUUCUCACAUACAAAGACAAUCCUCUCGAAACUUAAAAUUCCAUUUUUACCCUUCUUUGAUGUUUUCCACCUUCUUCACGGCCUCCUCUCUUUGGCCUGUAACCCUCUCUAAAUCUCAAAUGUCAACUUUGUUUGCGAGGAAUUCUUUUGCAAAAAACGCUUUUUCUUUUUUUGCAUUAAUUUUUAGUUCUGCACUGAUAAAGCCAUCUCAUCUUAUCUGGGUCCUUCAUUGAACUCUCCUGGUCUUGCUCAUUCAAAAAUAAAACUAGACCAGGUAUUAUUUAUUUAUUUAUUUUACUUGAGUGUUGAUUUUAAAAAUCCAUCUGUUGUCUCUUUCGGCUUGUUUUCAGCUACUGUCGGGGGAUAAUAUGAAAGUAAAGCCAUGGUGCAGUUUACUUUGUUAAUUUACCUCUAAUUUGCUUAUGGGUUUUAUUUGUUUAUCCUUUGAUUCCUACUAUUAGCUUAGGGUUUCAUGAACUGGGUAUGAUUUUUUAUAUGAUGAGUACUGAAAACUGGGUUAGUUUAGUUUGGUGUCAAACACUCACUUCAUGGCUUGAAUUGGGUUGUUUUCAGCUAAUGUAGCAGAAGGGGUUGUCUACGAACUGUUUCUGGCUCACUUCAUUAUCAAGAUGUCUGCAAAUGGCCAUGGUUUUGUUUCUUGGGAAGAGCACAUUAUAUGCCAUGAACGUGGAAGCCGUGUAGUUCACUUUUACUUGAAGGAUAAGUCUGGGACUUUAGUGCUUGCAGUUGUAGGCACUGAGAGAAGUAUAAGGCACAUGAUUUAUGUUGUUUCAGAUGAGUUCUUGAAUGUUUGUGGAUCAGAAGGAUCCAUCAAUGCAUCCAUGAAAUGGCGAGCAAGACGAGAAGUUGUAGACUGGUUAACCUUAUUGGUCUCCAAGUGUCAGCCGCCACUAGAAUUUCCAAGUAUGUACUAAUGCAUGCAUUUGCAAAGUUUUAUAAUUAUUCUUCUAGAAUAUUCAUGUAUUAUUAGUUUGCAUGGAAGUAUUUGAUAAGAGUUUGCUGUUGUAAUAAAAUUCAAAUAGGAAAGUCACAUUUACUAUUGUUUCCACAUGUCGGAAGAGUGGCACUUGAGCUGCUGGGUUUAUGAUUACGAAUUGCAUGCCGGGCUCUGUGUUACUAACUGCAAACAGUUUGUUUUUCAAAGUGGACUUGAAAAUUUAUCUUUCAUUUUAGGUUAUGUCGUAUGUUGCUGCAUUUUUUGCUUUCAUUUGGAAGAGGUCAAACAUUUAUGUAUGUUAAUAGAUUCUGAGCAUUUGUCAACGCUGUAGAAUAUUUUGGAUUUCCUAGUGGAAUCCAUAAUUAUUUAGGUUUAUUUUUAAUUGUAGAGUGACUAACGUGGUUCUUAAUUGUAUUGCUGAAACUUACCAAAAUAGGUUAUUGCUGCCUCUAGAAAUUAUUUAGAAUAUGCUUCUGAAAUGGAACAGCAGUUGUUGAGAUGUCAAGAACAUGAAUAUUAACUGCUUGCAAGUCUCCUAUUAGAAGUGGUUACAGUUCUCCAAGUAUGGGAAAUAUCGCGAAUUUGUUAGUUUGUUUCGAUCGAAUCAAUAGGUGUCUUAAUGGCUUUCUCUUGUCAUGACUGAUGGCACACUUAUGUUCUGCAUUUCUUCUUGUCAAGUUUCAGGUAUUUUAGUUGUGUAAAGAUGUAUAUCCUAAAACAGUUGCAUGAAGGUUAGAAACCUGUUGCAUGCUAUAUUCAUUUCUUGUGUAAUGGAAAGCAUGUCAUCCUUUCGAUCCCUAAAUUGAAUGAUUUAUGCUCUACAUUAUCUACUUUUGGCAUUCCUUGAAACCUGGGUAUUUCUUGCCACAUUUGUCAUGCAGACGUAGUUGUAUUCUUAAUUCUGGAUGGAAGAUUUAAAAGUUUUAUGAUCUUUUCAGUAACCCUUGCUGUCUGCCGUUACAGCGAAUUUGAUCUGCUAAGUCUAAUAUUUCUAUAACAGAUUCACAGGUGGAUGAUUCAACGCAAGAUUUUGGAUCUCUUCAUCUUCUGACAUCAAGAUUAUCUUAUCACCAAACCUAUUUACCGGAUCACAUGGUAUCUAUCUUCUGCAGUUGUUAUUUAUGUUAUGUAAGUAUAGGACUUUUGUUCUUUCUAUAAUUGGGAUUUCACUGUAAAUACAGGUAAUAAGAAAAUUGAAAGUUCAAAAUUCAGAUAUCGAGUGGUCUGGCAUUGCUUGGAAUUGUACUAAACAGCUCAAGCACUACCCAUCCUUUUGCAGGAAUGGAACCGUAAUAGCUGUAGGUCAAUGUAUUAAUUAUUAUUGCUACAUGUUGUGCCUGACUUUUACUUUAGUGCUGUUACAUGUCUCAUUGGCAUCUGACUGCUUUUUCCAUUUUUUGUCCGCCUGAUGCCCAGGUUCAUUCCUUUGUAUUUAUUACGGCUGAAGAAGAAAGUCACCGCCUUGGAUACGUGGAAGAUAUGUAUGAAGACAAGAAGGGACAGAAGAAGGUGAAAUUGCGGUGGUUUCAUCACAACAAGGAAUUUAUUGAUGUAAUUCCUGAUCUGAAUCCACAUCCUAGGGAAGUUUUCAUCACAACUCAUGUUCAAGUGAUCAGUGCAGAGUGUGUUGAUGGCCUGGCAACUGUCUUGACUCCCAGGCAUUAUGAGGAGUGUGUGGCUGUUGUUCCUCACACGUCACCCUCCAGUAUUUACAUGUGUUUUAGGCAGAUAAAAAAUAAAAAAGUAAAACCCUUCACUCUUACUAAAUUGCGAGGGUACUCUAGUCAAGCAAUUGUCUCUAGUUUAGGCGGACCUCCUGUUCCCAAGCAAAAGGCUAGGUGCCGUAAGCUGGAGAAUGAAGAUGAGAAACAAUUGAGUCUUGAUGAUCCAGCAAGGGUGAGUACUAAGAGAAGUAGAAAUUGCAAGGGGCAAGGACUUGAAGGUGGUUUUGGUGUGAAAAAUUCAUCUCCUGUGGAUCAGAAUACAAGUACUGAACUUAAAUGCCCAAAGUUUAAAUUAAGAUUGUCAAGAAAAAGAAUGGGAAUUAAGGUGGUUUUACCGCAAUCAGACUGUCCUACCACUUUCAAAGUGGAUGAGAAAAUAGAGCUCCUCUGUCAAGAUAGUGGCAUUCGGGGCUGCUGGUUCAGGUGUAAGGUUAUGCAAGCAUCCCAGAAGCUACUGAAAGUAAAAUAUGAUGAUGUGGAGGAUGCUGAUGGUUCUGGAAAUUUAGAGGUACACAGAUGCUGCAUGAACUUUAUUCUUGAAUUUUACAAGAAUGCUUUGAAACUUUUCUAGCUUAAAUCUUUGACAACUGCAUCAAAGUAUGAACAGGCAGUAUUUUUCUAGUUGAAUAUAGUUAGUAUGAUUUCCAAUUUUGUAAAAUUGUGAUCUUGGUGCCUCAUUUGGUUAUUUUAAGAAUAGUAAUGAUUUCUUGGCUUGGAUCGUGCCCGUGACCAUCUUUUCAGCAGUCUGCAUUGAUGGUGGCAGCCAAUUGCACCUAAAAUGAUGUAGGAAGCAUAGGGGUUAAAAUAAAUUAGGGAUUCUAGAUUUUGGGUCUAAUUAGUCUUUAGUAUUUUGUAAGGAUUUAUCUUGUUUUAGUAAGCUUAUUUGAGUCAUAUUUUUAAUCCUAGUCUAGUUAGGAUUUUAGAUUAUUUCACUUAUUUGAGAAGGAUUAGGAUUUAAUAGCUACUAGUAUAAAUAGGCUUGUUAUCUUAGUUUAUUGUCAUACCUCUUAAACUUUUCAUUAAUAAUAUUUUAGAAUAUUCCCUUCUGUGUUUAUUUUUGCCGUGGAUUCAGCAUUUUCUUUCAUUGAGAGCUAUCCUUUCUUGUGUACUUGAGACAUACGCAAUGACUCAAAUAAGCUUUACUUAAACAAGAUAAAUCGUAAUAAAAUACUAAAGAUUAAUUAGACUCAAAAUCUAAGAAACCCUAAUUUAUUUUAAUCCCUAUGCUUCCGACAUCAUAAAUCUUUAUUCUUUUCUUUAUUUUGUAGGAAUGGGUACCUGCAUCCAGGGUGGCAGCUCCUGAUAAACUGGGCAUGAGAUGCCAAGGUCGCCUGACAAUUCGGCCAUGUCCUCCAGUUAAUGCUGCAAGAUUUAAUUCUGAGGUUGGAGCACCUGUUGAUGCAUGUUGGAGUGGCGGAUGGUGGGAAGGUGUUGUAAUUGGUGUCGAUGUUUCUGGAGAUGAUGUCCUGCGAGUUUACCUCCCUGGUAUGCUCCACUGUUCUAUUUGAUGCAUCGUUGUUCCACGGUUAUUUUUCAUCUUCGUGAAUGAUGUGAUUUUGUCUGUGAUUUUUAGGUGAAGAUAAGGUCCUGAGUGUGCAAAGACAAAAUGUGAGGGCUUCCAAAGACUGGGUUGGCAACAAAUGGGUUGAUGUGAGGGGAAAUCCCAACAUACUCUCCUAUGUUUCUGCAAACUUCAAAUCUAGCUUGAGGUCUUCAGUGUGCUCUGCUAUUAAUGGAGCAUUAGGUGAUCUUAAUACUGCAUUGCCGGAGCAGGAAGUCCUCGCAACCUCCAAAAUUGAAGCUGUUGAAGAAGGUAAACCGGAGUUGGCUGGUUUAGUUGUGAUUGAUGACCUUAAAAAUUUAAAAGAAAGUGAUAUGAGAAAGCUGCAUUGUCACAAAGAUGAAGAUAAAAUUGUGGAAGUUGGAGGUAGAGAUGACAACGAGGAUUCUAAUGAUAAAGCUGAGUUGGUUUUGAAGGAUAGUACUGAACCUGCAAAAACCAGAGGAAAUUUGUAGUAGACGCCCUCAAAAGGGUGGUUUAAGUUGUAUAAUAAAAAGAUAUGGUAUAGCCAGCUGCAGGGGGCAAAGUUUUGACCUGGAUGGUAAAUUGUGGUUUCUUUGGUUUCUGUAUAUAAGAUAGAGAAGAGUUGGUAUAGUGAUAUACUGAAGACGAUGACUCCCAAGUUUCUAACUAGAGGAGAAGCCGCAGAUGUAUAGCAGUAAUAUAGAACUGGGAUAAAAAGGGUUUAGGUUUAAAGGCUUUGAUAGGGUGGGUAUCAGUUCAGAAGUAGAUCAGUGAAUUGCAGUGUGUGCUUAUUGCUAACUGCGUUUGCACCCAAAGUUUGUAUGCAUCUUUACAGCCUAGGAGUUUCAGCUUUAAUCGUAAACUGUAAAGGCUGUGUUAUAGGAUGUUUUUGUUGGUUAAAUAAAUCAAAUAAUGUACUUUUAUUUAUCCUGUGGUUUCUUUCCUUGGUCGAUUGUUUGCCUUUUUUAAAAAAAGAAAAAAAUUAUAUUUUGACAAGGCAGUGGCAUCACUGAUUAUUAUUUUGCAUAAACCUUAUCACUUGCACCCCUUUAUGACCUUUUUGCAUUACCUGCAUGAUUUAUUAUGAUUCUACUUAAUCAUUUUAAUGUUCAUUACAAGUCAUCGUGGAUUGAGAAUACAUCCUUGGUCCUUUUUUUUUUCCCUUUCUUUUAAUACGUUCAAUACUUUUAAAAAUUUAAAUUUGUAGGAGUUUUUUUUUCAGAUAAUUUCCCUUUAGUGAAAGGAAACGAAAAAAAGGGAAAUUUUAAAAAUUAAAAUUUACAGGAUUUUUUUUUUAUUUCCCUUUAGUAAGGUCAAACGAAAUUCGAUAAAAUUAAACACAGUGAUGUGAUAUCAAGUAGGAUUAAGAUAUUAAGCUAGUAUGCUUGGAAUAUUAAAUGUUAACGAUUAAGGAAUUCAAAGGACAUGUAUGCAUUCUAACUGUUAUUGGACAGAGUUGUCUCAUGAUUCAUGUAACAGUGAUUAAGUAAACGUAGGCAAGUAUAUAGAAUUGUAAAGAAAUUUUGUUUUCCAUUUUCGAAGUGACGACAAUGAAUACGAAGAGGAAUAAUUUAUUUACAAUUUGGAACAAGCAAUAGAAUAUAAAUAGGGUUGUCAUGGGGGAGCAAGCCCCUUUUUGACAAGCAUAUCAUAAACCCUAUCAAUUUUGCUUGGUUCAAUCUUGAACAAGUGAUGAGCAUCAGCUUUAUUAUUGACAUUGCCGCUGAAGAUCUCCCUGGACAUGACCUCUUGCAUCCUAAGAUAUAGAGGUGGAGCUAACCUGAUCUCACAGCAUAGGCGCUUCUCCUGCCAAAAUGACAAUGCUAGCUAGCUUACAAGUGUUCAUUUUACGGCGGACAAAGAAAGAAAACGAUGGAUUAGAAACUUACAGCUUCAGACAGUAAUUGUGUUUCAUUGAAUCCCAUUAUAUACAAAUCAUUUACAUGGCUUGAAGAAGCCUGUCCUGAAGGUCUUGAAUUUGAAUUUGAAUCUUUGCCAAGAGACUCUGAAGCCAUGAACACAUUUGCACCACCCUGACUGCUUGCGCCAGCAUGGCCACCUUCUUUUGCUCUGCGAGAAGCUUCUUCAGCUUCCCUUCCCCUUUUCAGUUCAAGGUAUCUAUCUGCCUCAGCAGAUGUACGGCACCCAGCAGCUCGGGCUUCCUGUAUAAUUAAUUGGAAUUUCGGCUUUCUUCAACAGGAACAUUUGUGUAUAAUAAUAUUUUGGGUAGUUGGAUAUAUCCAAUGAAGGAAACAUGUGCGAAGCACGAAUUAUACCUUAAGGUCUUGAAUUCUUUUCAGAGUUCGGUGCUCUGAAAUAACAGUCUGAAGCAAAUCCUCAUGGUCUUCCUUUGAAUGAAAACGCAUGAAGACAUCAUAACGCCGACAUAGCUCCCUCUCUUCAGGGGACAAAUCCUUCUCAAAAGGAUUUGGGUAUAACAAAUUUCUUUCUAGUAUGAAAUCCUUUCUACGCUUCCUCUCAUCAAGCCUGUUUCAACCAUAAACCGUGCACAGAGAGAUCAUUCUGUCACCAAUGUUAUAUCUACCCAAAAUUUCACAAUAUGAGUAGGAAUUUAAGAAUAAUGAAACAAUCAAAGUGCAAAGUGCAAUCAUGUAAGAAAGAAGUAUGUAUUGCAUACCUCUUUGAAUAUAUACGUAGCACGCGCAGCUUAAUGUCUCGCUCUUCCUCAGAGUCAGCAUCUUUGAAUUCCAUCUCAGCGAGUAAUUGCUCUGCAUCAUUGUCAUACUCAGGAUCAAAUUCUUGUCUUUUGCUGUUAUAACCACUCAAUUCAACUAAGGAUGGACCAUCAUUCCCUGAAGUGACUGGUUUCUUCCCCUUGGAACUUCUCUCUGUUUGAGGAUCUGCCACAAAAUAAAAGACAACACAAAUAGGUACUCCAAUUAUUGCAGCCAGUUAGAUUACGGCUCCCAGCCAAUAAUAAACACCACGCAUACAGAAAAUCUAAUUGUGUUACUCAUAAAAUUAUUUCAAUAAGACAUUUAGUACCAGCCAAUCAAGAAAAUACUAAUGCUUACCUGCAUUUAGACCACGGCCAGAGGGUCCAACUUUAUGCAUUUCUUCAAUUCUUUAAACAAAAAAAUGAAAAUUGGAAUAAGAAUUAUUUUUAACCUGAAUGCAUAAGAAAGCAUCAAAAUGAACUAAGACAACACAUGCAUAUAGGUGAGAAUGAUAGCCCUACUUGACUCUUGAAGGAGAAAAUGGAGAUUCUUCCUUCACAGUUGCUUCCCCAGGCUUGCUAGGUCCUGCAACAGCCACUUGCAAUUGAUGAAAUGAGGUUCUAUCAAUAAUAGACACUAGGCAUAUAAAUAGGAAGAGUAAUUAUGCAAAAUGACCAAAAGUCAUCUGUGCACUGACAGUAGGUUUUCAUCCUAAUCAAUUAUCAUUCUUUCAGAACUGGAUACAGUACUAGCUUCUGUAAGAUGGUAACCUCUCUGCUGCAUGCCAUGCAGAAUAGAGAUAAUAUAUUGUUAGACCCAUGAAAACUUAUGUUAGGCGCAAAUAUAAAAGAGCAGGGGCUGUUUAGUAAUUUUAGGGGCAGGGGCAAUUUAGUAACUUUAUUAUUAAUUAGGGUUUAGCUAUAAAUAAGAGAUUAUGGAGUCAUUUAGGGUUUAUGUUGAGUAUUGUCUAGUAUUAGGAACCAUUAGGAGUUUUGGGAGAGAUUGACCUACCUCUCGAAUUGUAGGUCAGGAUUGAUUGUUAGUUUUCUUUUGAUUUAAUCAAUAAAAGUCAGUCUUAAUUUAGCCCUAAGUCCUAUCAAAGUGGUAUCAGAGCAAGAAUCCUGAGACCAUGUCAUCAAAGAAAGUGGACGCACUUGAAGAAAAAUUGGAAGCGGAGAUUGGAUCGCUCAAGGCCACCAUUGACGAGCGAUUUAAUAACGUUCAACAAAAAUUUUCAUCCCUUGAAGCCAUGUUGUUGAAAUUGAUAGAACUCCACCUCAACCCACCAUUGGCAGUAUCAACAGGCCAAGACGGUGUGGUGGUAGAAGGAUCGGGCGACACGAAACCCGUGCUCGGCAACGGCACAGAUUGCGGAGGGUCGAAAACCACCAGUCUUGCACAGCCAUGGGCAACAGUUCACGGCGGAUUUGGUGGCGGGGAGGUUAGCCUAGGGGACUUACGGCCUAGGGGAGCCUUUCCUGGUGUUGGGUGUGGCGAAGGAGGCUGGGUUGCGACUGGGGGCGGUGGAUCUGAGGGUUACGCGGCUGGAGGAGGCAGUUUAGGAUUGGGAAUCGGUGCUUCGGCAUCGGAAUGGGGCGCGCAAGAUUCGGGGGUGGACGGGCUUGGCGACUUGGCGGCAUUUGGGGGUGACACACGGCCUGGGCAGGCCGAAUUUUGGGCUGGGCAGGGCUGCUGUGGGCCUGGGCAGGGCGAUUUUAGGUCUGGACAGGUCGUAUUUAGGGGCGGAUGGCCAGGAAGAGGGGUUACCUGCAAGAAAGGGAGCGGUUAUGACCGGAAUGCAGUUGGGCGAGGGAUUUCAGCCCAAUAUGGGGCUGGGCAAGGAGAAUUUUGGGUUGGGUCUUCGGGAUUUGUAGACACUAGAGUAGAUUCGGGAGUUUGGCGACCUCUAAUGGCACGAAAUUGGGCGGGUCAGACUCAAUUUGGAGCGGAUUCUAGGGUAAGAAAGCUGAAAAUGCCCAUUUUUGAAGGCGAUGAUGCUUAUGGAUGGGUGUAUAGGGUAGAGUGCUAUUUGACCAUCAAUGAACUCUCAGAGAGGGAAAAAUUAAUGGCAGCGGCGUUAUGUUUGGAGGGAAAGGUACUUGCAUGGUUUCAAUGGCGAGAACAACGACAACUAUUGAGGUCGUGGGGUGAAUUUAAGGACCGGCUAUUGGAGAGAUUUCGGGCCACUCAAGAAGGGGAUUUGCAUGAACAAUUUUUUGCCUUGACCCAGGAGAGAACGGUCAUGGAGUAUAGGAAAAAGUUUGAGCUGUUGUCGGGACGUCAAUGGGACAUCUCAAAGGCAGUGUUGGAAGGGAAUUUUAUGAAGGGACUGAAGCUAGAAAUCCGAGCCUCGCUACGCUUGCUAAGGCCGAGAGCAAUCCAAAUCACCCAAAAAGUGGUCAACUGAACAUUUCCACAGGCACUCUAGCCUUUUCACCUUUCCCAAAAGCAUAAAUAAACUCUGAAAGCACAGACAUACCAGAAGCUGGCAUCACCCAAGAGAUUUCAGCUGCCUGAAACUAUCUAUUCCACAGCUGGACAGCAUUGUCACAAUACAAAAACAAAUGAUCCGUCCUUUUGCCAUUUCUCUUGCACAUGACACACCGACAAGGACACAAACACACAUUAGGAUUCCGCCUUUGAAUAAUGUUACCAGUACUAAGUUUACUAAAAGCGAAUGACCAAGAAAAAAUUUGAACUUUACUUGGGAAUUUAGCUUUCCAAAUCAUAUGGGCCGGCUGAAAGGUCAAAAGAACUUGAUCAUCAAUCAACUUAUCGAAAAAGGAUUUGCAAGAAAAAUGUUAGGUCCAUGAAAACUUAUGUUAGGCGCAAAUAUAAAAGAGCAGGGGCUGUUUAGUAAUUUUAGGGGCAGGGGCAAUUUAGUAACUUUAUUAUUAAUUAUGGUUUAGCUAUAAAUAAGAGAUUAUGGAGUCAUUUAGGGUUUAUGUUGAGUAUUGUCUGGUAUUAUGAACCAUUAGGAGUUUUGGGAGAGAUUGACCUACCUCUCGAAUUGUAGGUCAGGAUUGAUUGUUAGUUUUCUUUUGAUUUAAUCAAUAAAAGUCAGUCUUAAUUUAGCCCUAAGUCCUAUCAUAUAUCAAGCAAGCAAGCAAGCAACGAAAGUGAAAAGGAAAAAAGGAAAAGAAAUAUAACUCCAAGGAGAAGGAUGAAAAUAAUGUAGAAAACCUUUCUUAUCAUCAAUGUGACCUUUAGCCAUAGCAAGGAGCUCCUUUCUGUUUUUGCCGACAACAUGAGACAUGUCCUGGGCAGGAAAAAGCGUUGACAACUUAAUUAUUUAUCAAAAAUCAACUACUAAAAAGAGGAUUGGCUUUGCUGAAAAUGUUGUACCGGGAGAGGAAAGAAUGGGGAGUUCAUGUACACAUUUGUAUAAUGUUCAAUACAAAGUUCCUUGGUCUUUGUCCCAACAUGUUCUGCAAUUUCUGCCCAGUUCCCCAAGCCAUACAUUUCGAUUCCCUAAAGAUUACAAAAAAUUUCAACAAUAGAGAAGUCAAAUACAAUAUCUCCACAAACCAGAUAUUGUAUCAGCAGAUUUAGAAUAGUACGACCUUCAAGACAUUAAAAGGCAAAAGGCCAAAAAAUACCUCUAGAAGCAAAAUUUCGUCAUCUGCAUUCCAAUCAGGGCAUAUAAGUGGGAAAGAUAGAUUGUCCUGUUGAAAAGAGGUAUAAAAAUGCAUAAGCUCAAAACAAGACUAUAUUCACUAUCAGCAAUAUGCAACUGAAUAAACAAAACUGUAGCAAGGGAUAGAUAGACUAGAGGAAAAGAAAAAGCAUGGAAUUUUUGAAAUAAUAGAGAAGAAAAUCAAGCAAAAUAUUAUUCUUACUCACCAUAACCCUGUAAGGGUGAUUGCUCUUAUGAGGAUGCACCUCAACGCCAACAGAGAAGCACUCUAUACAUAGGUCAAAAUCAGGACAAACUGCACACUUAAUACGGAUCUUCCCUGUAAUGUCUUUGUUGCAAUAAUUGCAGUGGUAUAAAGCCCUUUUCCCUUCACCUGCUCCUUGACCUGGCUUCAACAUUAUUGGAUGGGAAAAUGUCAUAAAAUUUUAAAUGAAUAAAUAAAAAGAAAAUUAUCCCCGUCACAUUUACAUAUAGAAAGGAUGAAAGCACUUAAGCAACCACAGGUACAACAUAUUCAACCGACUUCAAUCAAUAAUAGGGAUAAGUAUUGGAGUUUAGUGGGUAAUUAUUCUCAUCCCCAUCCAAACCGUUUAAGAAAGAACCACAGGUAUAACAAUUAUCUCAUAGAAUGCGUGAGCGUUGCCACUUUGAGAUAACUCACGAACAUUGCCACUUAAAGAGAGAACUCCAACUCAAUUCAGUGAUCCCAGCCAGGAGAUUUCAUUUCGCAAUGAAAUGAUAGUAGUAAUUGGUAAAGUACCUGGAGCUGCAGUAUCUGAAUUGUCACUGGAGACAUUCUUCUUUCUCCUUGACCUGCAUGAACAAAAUGAGCAUCAGAUAAAAGCUUCAUAAUCAUGCCACAGAUAACUUAUAAGAAAUGAUUCUGGAGUGUGGUUCUGGAGGAAUAUUACUAUGCUGGAGACAAGAAGUUAUAACGGUAGAACAAAAUCAAUGAAGCAUAAUUAUGAAAGUUGGAAUAAUUUUUUUUUUCUUUAAAAAUAACCCAAACUAUUUAUCUAUUAAAUAAAAAUGCAUAAGAAGCACAUUGUCAUUGUACUUCAUAGUUCCAGUAACAGUAGAAACAAGAACAGUAAAAAUAAAGAAAAAUAAUAAUAAUAAUAACAAUUAAUCCCAUAAAUUUCAGAUGCACAACAUAAAAGCUAGUCAGUCACGAAAAGCAGAAUUUUCAAAAUUAUUGAAAACCAAAAAAACAAAAAUUAAGUUCUACAGUCACAAUAUAGACUUGAGUAGAAGCACUUCUACUUCAAAGCAUUCAGGAUUAUAUAUAAAUUAAUAAUCAGCUAAGGAAAAGGCAACAGUUCCAAACACAGAGAACCAACACCAAAUGAAGAGGAAAACAAAACAAAGACUGUAACAUUAAGGAAAUCAAUUUUGUGAAAAAAGAGAGCGAACCUUUGAGUGGGGUCUUCAUCAUUAGCGUGAAAGUUCCCACGAGAACGACCCAUAUUUUUCUCAAAGUUGAGUGAGCUUACGAUUACGAGCGCCUGUUUAGAAGCAAAUGUUAGAAUUUCUUGAAAUGCAACGACAAGAACAACCGACAGACUGACUGGCAUUUAUUUAUUGACUCAGAAGAAACAAAAACAAAGAUUUUGAGUAAAACAGAACCCUAAAUUUCUCAGAUAAGUACGAAAAGUUUCUGGCUCCGAAUAUUGGGGAUAAUGGGGUUUCCUAAUUUUGGAUGAAAAUUAAUGGGCUUACUUCAAAAUCCAAAUUUCUGAGAUUUUUCCAAGGGUUUGGGUUGCAACGACGGGAAGUAACAGGGGCUGUAAACUGUUAUUUGUCAAACUACUGAAGUGUCGUGUCAUUGACAAAUGCGCCAAAUGGUAAUAAAGCUGCAGGUCAACUGUGUUUGGAUUCUCAGUUUAGUGUGACACAUUGUAAUUUGUAUGUGUGUGUUUGUUCGGAAAGGAAAUUAAUGGUGCCCAGCCGAGAAGAUUUUGCACUUUUUUUUUUUCUUUUUUUCUGGGUUUACCUCAAUGGAAACUGUGGAAAUUAAUAAAAGUAAUUAGUAAAUUCGUUUUUCUUUUUAAGCAUAAAAAAUUAAUUAGAGAACAGUAACAUAUGGCUUCAGUCAGUGACUUGACUCGUUACAGUAUGUGUUCAAUUUAUAAACCAUUUAGAGAAAGGAAGUGUCAUGACUUUGAAGGAAAUUUCUGUAAUUCUUUGUGUGGACGCCCGAUACCAAAACAAAAAUAGAGAGGUGAACAUAUUUAUUUAUUUAAAAAAAAAAAAAGAAUAUAAAGAAUUUUGAAUUUCUUCGCACUUCAAAUUCAUUUCAAGGAUGAAUCUGGGUUUGGGCUAUGACCCAAAAGAAAGCCUAAAAAAGAAGUUAAAUGGGCCCAAAGGAUACAACAUGCAUACGACUCGCAGCCACGUAGCCAGGUGUGGGUGGUAGUACGUGAAGUAGCAGUUUGAUGUUGAAGUUAUUUUUAACUUGACGUGAUGGUAUUGUUACUGGGGGCGAAGCAAGAGAGAAAAAUGUGAGAUAAGAGUGAUUCCUAUGUGGUAACAGAGCAAGUAUAUAUCUAUAUGCAUAUAUACACUGAUCUUUCAUUAUAAUCUACAAUUUCUUCCAAGAAAAUGAGUUCAAUAUGAAUAACGUACAAUGUGUUUUUUUUUGGUGAACUAAAUAAGAUUUGGAAAAUUGACAAAUUGUACUAAAUCAAAAUACUAACAAAUAGUACUUAGAAAUUAUGUAGAUAAUUGAAGAAAAUUAUAGGGAGAUCUUCAGUAUAAUUUUAUAGUAUUAUCGUUGUUUUGAAAUAGAUCAUGACUAAAAUUAUAUAAAUUAUAUCAAUGAAAAUUAAAAUAAAAAAUCUAAGGAUCAAAAAUAAGAAAAAAUAUAUUUUUCCAUGUCAAUAAAAAAUUAAUAAUAAGAUAUAUAUAUUUUUUUAUUUUUCUUAUGAUAAAUAUGCAUUUUAUAUUUUCAAGAUAAAUAAUUGAGUAAAUGACCUACUUACUCCUCUUUUCCUUUAAAUUUUUGGUAUUAAAGGAAUUUGCGGAUUUUUAAAGACUAUAAAGAAAAUAAAUGGUAUAUAUUAAUUUUAACAAGAAAAAAUUAACUAUGUUCCAAAAUCAAUAACAGGUAUUUUUUUUAAUCUCUGUUAGUUUUAGUAUGUUUUUCUCCUUUAAAAACAUAGGAAAAAGAAAAGAAAUCAUAGUGGCGGAUAUUAUCAGUGCCGAUAUUAGGUUUGGCAUGGCAUGGCAUGCAUUGAAGCCGAAACACGUUGUUGAUAAUGACAACAAAAAGAUUGAGUGGAAAAGGAAAAUUAAUUGCAAAUGCAACGAAGCCUAAUUAAUGCAUUCAUUAAUCACAACAUGAUGCGAACGUACUUCCUUCAAAUAAAAUAAACCAUGAUUAAUUCUUCAGGGCUCAAUGCACGUCACCACUCACAACUACUUAAUUAUUAACUAUUUGGCUAGUAACUCCAAAAUUGUACCUCUCAUCAAUUUCUGUUGUAAUUAAUUUCAUUCAUUCAAUCUCAAUUAUGGCAGUUUUAUUUUUUUUUGCUUUUGAGUGCUUUUGUAAUUGAGGUAUUGUAAUUUUUAAGGUAUAAUUAUUAUAGAAAAAAAUUGUUAUUAUGAAAUAAAAGUUCCUAACAUAUAUUAAAUGUAAAUUUUAAAUAAUAAUUUUGAUAAAAUAUUAAAGAUAUAAUAGAUUUUUCAUUAUACAAGUGAAAAAUCAUAUCAACAUAACUUCCAAACUACAGCAGUUAGUGUUUAUCAAAUACUUUAUUACUGUAACUUUUAAACUAUAACUGCCAAACCAAUGAUUCAUAUAUAUAUAUAUGUGUGUGUGUGUGUGUGUGUGUCAUAUCAACAUAACUUAUAAACUACAAUAGUUAGUGUUUAUCAAAUACUUUAUUACUGUAACUUUUAAACUAUAACUGCCAAACCAAUGAUUCAUAUAUAUAUAUAUGUGUGUGUGUGUGUGUGUGUGUCAUAUCAACAUAACUUAUAAACUACAAUAGUUAGUGUUUAUCAAAUACUUUAUUACUGUAACUUUUAAACUAUAACUGCCAAACCAAUGAUUCAUAUAUAUAUAUAUGUGUGUGUGUGUGUGUGUGUGUCAUAUCAACAUAACUUAUAAACUACAAUAGUUAGUGUUUAUCAAAUACUUUAUUACUGUAACUUUUAAACUAUAACUGCCAAACCAAUGAUUCAUAUAUAUAUAUAUGUGUGUGUGUGUGUGUGUGUGUGUUGGGAAGCGAGGUGAAUCGAUUGUUCAGGGUGUACGGACUGUUUUGGUUUUUAUGGAGUGAAGGAAGAGCGAGACGCUGGUGUAUAUGGUGAGAAGUUUGACUCCAGAUGCUGAAAGCUCUAAAAAUCACAUUAAACCUGCAAAACAACGAGAAAGAGGUCAAAGGUAGAGUCGGGAGUAGCUGGUGACUACACUCCAAUGUUCAAGUCAGAGUUGGGUUAUCUCAGGUUAGAGAGCUUGCAAGCUCUUAGUAAUGGAGGUUGGAGGUUGAAGAAACCUCAGCUCUUGUGGUGUGUGAGUUGACUCUUAUGACUAAAAUGUGUGAGUUGACUCUUAUGACUAAAAUAAAACCUGAGUAUUUUAUAUGUUGUACCUCGGCUGCCGUGCCACCUAGUGUUAUUUUAUUGGUGUUCUUUAUUGUCAUGUCAUAUAUAUUUUUAUCCUUCACACGUGUCACUACUUGGGUAUUUCAAAAUAUGCUUAGAGAAUAAGUUUGAGGCGUAUUCAUGUGUUAAGUGUAGAGGGGUGGUCCUGCGUACAUCUGCUAAAGUUGUUAAGGAUUUACAGGUGUGGUAGGAGAGGACAUGUGAUCUCAGCUGUCUUGAUAAUAACUUUUUGGCUGUUUUGUAGGCAUGACAGGUCGUUGUCUCCUCCUUUUCAGCACAUGCAAUAGUUCCUCAUUAAUUCUUUUAUCCAAUCAUUUUUGAGAUUAUGUCUCUUUCAUCCAUUGACACUUUUUAAAAUAUUUUUAUGACAUUUUUACCUUUGCUCGGCAUACUCCGGGUACCCCACAUAACACUUGGAGUACCCGGUGUAGGCCAACAUUCUUAUCAUGACUUUAACUACAAAACUGCAUAUCGACACGUGGCACAUUUCUUUGGACUUCUACCUUUCCCCAAAAAUAUAUAUAUAUAUACACACACACACUAGGUACGUGCAUUUGGAAGUGAUGAAACUCGUUGAGGUUUGAUGAUCAUGUGUUAUCUACUCGAUCGCAGGAUUACGGCUUCGGUAAAUCCGUGAAGCUCUCAGUUGACGCGCCUUGAAUUGUCGUUUAAUUUUAAAAAUUUCUCAUCAAACAAAUUAAUUUCAUCGAUUAUGGCGGGCAUUAUUCUAUAUUAUCAUUUAAAAGAUGGUUGGGACAUGGCAAUCGCAUCACCUAGUGAGCUUACUUUUAAGAUAUAGGAAAUGUUCCUUUGCAAUAUUACAAUUUACAACAAGCUGCCGCAUUCGAGAAUCUUCCUCUUCUUAUUAUUAUUCUUUAUUGUUAGUUUACAUAAUAUAUUCAGUGACUCGUGGAUAUUCCAGUCUCUACUCUUGAUAUCAGAGAUUUGGAUUCAUGUUAAUGUUAUGGAUUGAUUGAUACAUUUGGAAACAUGUAACUGGUAGUUAUGUAUAUUUAAAUAAAAAUGAGUAAUAUUAUAACUCUAAAAGUUUAUAAAUUAACGUAACAUAAUCCGAUUAGUUGAAUUAAAAUAUAAAAUAAUAUAAAUAAAUCAUGUGAGGGGAGCAAUGUUUUCAUUCAAUUAUUUUUUUUUUCCGGUACAUUAACUAUGUAUGUUAUACCGCAACCAUUUGAACAAAACCAUCAUUUAUACAAAGGAGUUUGUUGUUGUACGGUGACUCGAUAAGAAUAUAGAGUUAAUGUGUAAAAUUAUAGCCUUGAACCCUUACACCAGCUCUUUUUAUGUAAACCCAUCAGGCAUAAUGUGAUACAUAACUUUUAUUAUUUUACACGCUGAAGAUUAUGAACAAAAAAGUACAAAACGCAAAUAAAAUUGCUUAGUUUAUAUCACAACAAUUCUGACAAACUAUAGGGCAUACAUACUUUAUAGCACACCUCUUUUGACCUUUGUAAAACAUUAAGAAAGUAUAAGUACCCGCUUCUUGACUCAGAAGAUUACUAAGCUAUUUAUUUAUUCUACUCCAUCUCUCCUAAAGUUUAUUUCUUCAAUAGUGAUGGAGCAACAAUUUGAUUACUUCACUGUUACUAGUCUCCUUGUCUUUUUAACGUUCCUGUUAAGAUUGGUGUGGGGAUGGAAAAAAUCGAGUGAUAAAAUCAAAAUCAGAUUGCCUCCAGGGCCUUCAAAGCUGCCAAUUAUUGGAAGCCUACAUCACUUGAUCGGGCUCGAUGUUGAUUUGCCCUACUAUGCACUUACAGAUUUGGCCAACAAAUAUGGACCUUUGAUGCAUCUGCAACUGGGAAAAAUGUCCCUAGUCGUCGCGUCGUCAGCUAAAAUGUUUAAAGAGCUGAUGAAGGAGAAUGAUCUAGCCAUUUCGCAAAGGCCAGUGCCAUACGUUGCCAGAGUCCUGGAAGAUGCUGGAAGAGACAUUGCCUUUGUUCCCUAUGGUGAUUACUGGAGACAAAUUCGGAAAAUAAGCAGAAUGGAGCUGUUCAGUGUCAAGAAAGUCCAGUCAUUGCAUUAUAUUCGUGAAGAUCAAUCCAGCAAGCUUGUUGAAUCCAUUAGGGGUCAUGCAGGAACAGUAAUGAAUCUGAGCAAAGCAGUAUCCGACUACACGAGUACUGUUGUUGCAAGAGCAGCUUUUGGUAGCGGAUGUAAAGACCAAGAUAAGUUUAUAAGGCUAUCCCUAGAAAUGGUUGCGGCAGCAGGAGCCGUCAGUACUUUGCCAGAUAUGUUUCCUGCUCUAGGGUUUAUUCCUAUACUCAGCGGGAAGAAAGCCUUUUUGAAGAGCAUUCAAACGGAAGCUGACAAGAUCCUCGACGUCAUUAUUGAUGAGCAUAUUCAGAAAACCAAGAGCAAUGAAUAUGACGGAAAGGAAUCAGACAAGGAAGACAUAGUUGAUGUUCUCCUAAGACUUGAGAAAUCUGGCGAACUUGAAAUCCCUAUUACUACCCAAGACAUCAAAGCUGUCAUCUGGGUAAGAUUAUAUGUCUGCCUUUGAUUUUGUCGAUUUUUUUCCCUUUUUGGGGGCAUAUUUGGAUUGACCUGUGUGCAGCAGUUAGCUUCUAAUUCACUGUUUGUUAUUGAUGGAAUAAAAUCAGUAACAGUCAAGUAAUUAAAAAUAUUUUAUUAAACAAUUAGGUUGCUGUGCUUCCGAAAUUAAGCGGAAGCAAAACAAUCACCAGCUAGUACUUGUAGAUUUUAUAUUCGUGUGUUGUCUUUCAUUGCUUAUCCUUUUUUUUAAAAAAAUAAAACAUUAUAUGUGCGAUGCAUGUUGUUAUCAUCUGCAGAGUGUAUUUGCUGGUGGAACGGACACUUCAUCAACUACAACAUUAUGGACUAUGUCGGAGUUGAUGAGAAAUCCUAAAGUGAUGGAGAAGGUACAAGCUGAGAUAAGAGAAAAGCUCAAGGGGAAGAAAGAAAUCUAUGAGUCAGAUAUUCAGGAUUUACACUAUAUGAGGGCAGUCAUCAAAGAAGCUCUAAGACUAAGGAUUCCAGGUCCCUUAUUGCUCCCAAGAGAAACCAUGGAGCCAAUUGAGGUUGAUGGUUACGUAAUUCCAGAAAGAACCAAAAUACUUUUCAAUGCUUGGGCAGUAACAAGAGAUCCCCAACUUUGGGAGAAUCCUGAGAGCUUUAUUCCAGAAAGGUUCAUAGAAAAUCCCCUGGAUUACAAGGGAACUAACUAUGAAUUCACACCAUUUGGAUCAGGAAGAAGGAUUUGUCCAGGCAUGAAUUUUGGUAUAGCCAAUGUAGAGCUUCCAUUGGCUAAACUACUCUACUUCUUUAAUUGGCAGCUCCCUCCUGGGAUGCAACCACAUGAACUUGAUAUGACUGCAAAAUUUGGUGUGGUUUGCGGUAGAAAGAAUGACUUGUUUCUGAUUCCUACUCCUUACAAUAAUAUUCCGUGAGGGAUGCAAUGACUUUGUUGUAAGAUAUAUUGUGCGGCCACAUGAUACCAAUUUAUGAUAUAAUGGGUGUAAUAAAUACAAAAGAAAGUGGAUCAAUCAAAAUCCUGUUUGUGAAAAUGUACUGUUGAGUCCACUUAGAAGAAGAGAAGGAGAACUAAGGAUUGCAUGCAUUCUUGUAUUUUUUUUUAAUCUCUUUUUAUAUAAUUUUUUUUUCACUUUUUUAAAGGGCAAACCCGAUGAAUUUGAACCGGAAUAAAAAUUAAUUGGUUUUUAAAUUUAAACCUAUUCAAGGUUUAAGGGUUAAAUCAUACUAAAGCAAAUCCAAUAUUUAUUUUAAAUUUGAUUUGAUUCAAUUCGAUUUAACCUACUCUGAAUACCCACCUUACUUUUCAAAUUUCCAACCGCGCUUAUUUUUUCGGUUAAAUAUCUUUGUCGUCCUUCUUUGAGUCAUUUCCUCAAUUAGUUUUUGUGCUUUUGAUGAUGAUGAUGAUGAUGAUGAUUAUUAUUAUUAUUAUUAUUAUUAUUAUUAUUAUUAUUAUUAUUAUUAUUACUCUUAAGAAGAUAGGGGAUUGUGCAAAACCCAAAUCAUUUCUUUAGUCCUGACCUCUCCUAAAAUUUGAACUCGGUGGCUUAUCAGAUAAAACCACUCAGUCAAGCACUCUUAGGGGCAUCCCUUUGUAAUUGGAUUUAACUUUUCAAGGGGUCAAUAAUAUUUGUCUGAUAUAAUUUCUAAAACUCAAACAAGUAAGACAUGUAACAAUUAAAAAUAAUAAUAAUGAUGAGGCAAAUAUAUAACAAGGACUUUUAGGUAAUUUAAAAAACUAAACAAAUAAUUAACUCAAACAAUAAGUACUAUGAGAAUUUACCCUAAUGUUUACGGUAUAAAAUUAUUAUUUUUUGAUAUUAAUCACGAGGUAUCCUGGGGAGGGCCCCAACUGUGAGAGACACAUUUAAGCCCGUACCACAACCCAGAUUAGUAGUGCCCGCUUGAACCGGGAGGCAUAUGUUCUCCCAACAAAGGCGACUUCCCUGCGACUCGAACUGGGGAGCAAACCCAGUCAAGCCAUUUAAGGGGACUCCAUUGCCAGUAGAGCCAACACUUUGUUGGUUUUACGGUAUAAAAUUAUGAAUCAUCUUCACCUAACAAAAAAUUAACAGGAAGGGUUGAAAUCCAAAAACAAUGCAAUAGGAUGACGUUGACCAAUCAUGUAAUGGGAUCCAAUUAUCCAAACCCAUGCUUCAGUUGGGCCUAUGCCGAAAAAGGCCUGGGUCGAGCGGAUGAUCCGACCACGGGGUUGAAUUCUUGAGUUGAUAGUGAAAAGGACAAUUUGUUAAAGAGUAUUUUUUAUUCAAAAUAAAAAACAAAAAGGAGAGGGGCAGUCGGAAAAAAAGAAAAAAAAAUGACAAUGCCGCGGCCAAACCAAAAUUUGAAUUCAGAUUUCGGACAGCGCCUCUGCGCUCGGAGGCCACGUCACAUAAAACCAAAACCCCAAAUUCAAAAAUCACAGACAAGACAUCAUCACUCAUCACAAUCACAAAGACAAAACCUUCAAUCAAAUCUUCUUCUUCUUCUUGUUCAAUUCUCUAGGCUAAAGUGAAGCAAGAAGAGGAACCCUGCAAAAAUGGCAACAAGAUACAAUUCAUACGAUUCGCGCUCAUCAACAUCCUCGUACUUGUCAGAUCCAGCUUCUUCCAGUAUCGAACUUAAGCCCCAGAAUCAACCCACUUCAUCUUCACGCGCAAUCAUCAAAUCAAAACCCUCAACGGCAGCCACAAAGACUAAUAAGAACAGUAAUACAAAUUUGGCCAACAUGGUGAAGAAGUUUAUGGAGAAAAAAUCAUCAUCAUCGAGUCGGGCGGUGGGGCUGGUGAUACCGUCGGACGUGAUAGCGGAGGAUCUGAAGAAAACGGCGAGAAAGGGCGGCAAUUUUGGUGGGUUGCAGAGGAAGUUGUUUGGAGGUAAAAUUGAGAACGAGAAGAAAUCGGAAGUGAAAGCGUUGCCGUUGAGGGAAGUCAAGGGAGGCGGCGGUAAUAAUAAUGUGAAUGCGAGGACUUUGGCGAUGGUGUUGAGAAGUGAAAGAGAGCUUUUGAAUGCUAAUAAGGAGCAAGGCAUUGAGAUUUCUCAGCUUAAAAUGUUGCUUCAAGAAAAGAACAAUGAAGUGAGUUAUAUAUAUAACAUUAGUUGAGUCCCCCAUCCUUAAUUUUUCUUGAUUUUGCUUGUUUAAUUUCUAAUCGCCAGUCUAGAGAUGCAGCCAAUCAAAAUCAUUUAUAUAUAUUUAUAUAUGCGGCUUGCAGGUUGAGAAGCUGAAAAACUUGUGCUUAAAGCAGAGGGAAGAAAUUAAGGCACUAAAGAGUGCAACAUUGUUCCCAGAUCAUGCUACGGAUUCUCACCUUCAAGGGCUUCUAGAAAAGCAGGGUUCUGAGCUGAAACAAGUCAUUCCGUCUCUCCAAAGGCAGGUUACCUCUCUCACUGGGCACCUUCAGAGCCUUGCUCAAGAUCUUGCUGAGGUAUUCUACCUGUCGUCUAUUCUGUUUCUAUAUAUGAUGAAUGAUAAUUCAUCUUUCAUCUACUCUAAACUGACCAUCAGGAGACCUUUCAAUUUUGCUGGCUGAUUUGUUUAAGCUGCAGGUAAAAGCAGAAAAAUAUUCAGCCAGGACUGGUAUGAUCAUGCGUCAUGGAACCUGCCCCAGGACACCGUCUUAUGAUCACGAAGAGCCUGCUAAUUCUUUGGUAUUAUUUUAAAAUUUUUCCUUGGAUCCAUGUCGUCCCGAAGCCAAGCCACCGAUAUUCUAUCGUUGAUGAGAUUUUCAAUUAAUAGUUUGCUCAAAAUUUAUGCAGGAAUUCAGCUCGGAGGAUGUAACAACCCCUGGCAGUCCUGACGACUUGUUUCUCAAGGAUUUGAAUCCUUGUCUAACACCAUUUAGUGUCAAAAAAAAGACUACCAAGGUAAUUAAGCGGGCAAUUCUUCUUUGCUAUUUCUUUAUUAUCUAUCAAUGAGAGUGAGAGAUUGAGAUGGAGAGUGCCUACUAUUUUCUUAGAGCAUAUCUGUUUCCCAGAAUCACAAUAAUCAGUUAAGAGUGAAUGGUAUCUUGUGCUUGUAGGAAUUCGAGGCGUCGAGCUAUGAUUCUCCUGAACUUGAUGAUGAAAGCUUUUGCAUGAACAGCGUGGAAACGGGCAGUGAGUUUGGAUUCAGUUCUCAUUCUCAUAGCAGAAAACUUUACAAAAGUUCUGAUUGUUACCAGAACUCCAACGCAGGCAGCAGAAUUGCCCGACCAAUUCGGAAGUCAGAUGAAAGUAAACGCACAUAUGGGAAGCAAAUGCUGCAUAAAGUCCUUUAAUUGGUCUGUCAGUCGUUUGGAUUCUUAAGCAUUUCUUUUACGCCCUGUUGUCUUUUGUCAACCUACUUCUGGUUUUACAUCAAUAUCCAGAAGUCAAAAUUCAGAGUCAUGGCAAUAGCUCCCCGCUGUAUUGAUGUUAUAUGGUGCUCUUCAACCAAUUCCACACAAAUAAAGAGUUCAAACUCGAUGAUACAGAUACAUGUAAGUUGGAUGCAGUGUAUUAUGGAAUGUGCUCAAUGGAGCCAUUAUUGCUGUCAAUGAAAAGCGGAGUCUGACAAUAUUAUUAGUAGCUUGCUUUCCAUGUAGUUGAUAUGUGUUCCAUACAGUUCAAACUGUCCUACGUACUUCAUAAUUGACAGUUUUUUUUUUUUUUUUUCUAAUCUUGGCUUUAAUGGCAUCAAAUUAAUCUUUAUGGUCUUUAACUCAUUAAAAAAAAAGGAAGCAGCCCACAAAACAGUGUCCCCAACACAGCAUAAGGAAUUUGCAGGGCAAGACGUCAAAAACUGGAAAAGAUUUAUUGAAGUGCAGAUUUUAUUAUACGUACUGAACAAGUGAUGAGUAUCUUCUAUCAUCACUCUUAAACAUGCAGAUUCACAUGAUAUCUUAUUAUGCCGUUAUUUGGGGACUUGUCAAGCUCUUCAACUUCAAGCCAUGCCCCGACUAGUAGCUGUCCUGAUAAUCUGAAAAAGAGCUGCCGGCCAAUAAAGGGGGAAAUGAAUUAGGUUAUUGGAAGCACAACUGCAAAAGCCAGAAGAGAUAAAAAAUUAAAAAAAAAAAAAAAAGGAUAACAGGAACAAUAACAUACAUGAUCCUAAAACUACGAAGACAAAGAAGCCAAGCAGAAUUGGGCCAAUGGGGUAAUCAGAUCCUUUCUUUGCGGAGCUUUCAGGAACUGAUCCCCUCCUUGUGACGUUCUUCUGGAACCUUGCAUUUUUCCUCUCUGCAAGCCGCUUCGAUGUAGUCUGUCCGAACAACCCAAAUAAGAAAACAAAACACGUAUGACAAAUCCUAUUGGAAAUGGCCAGUAAUUAUUAUAACGCAAUCAACAUGCUAAUAAAUUUUUCUCAUCUCAUCUGUCAGUCCCAUCAAAAUUUUCCCAAGAUAAUAAUAUGAAAACUGAUUAUAAGACAGAUCAAAAGUUCAAAACAAAAAGAGACCAUGAACAGCUCAAUCGACAUCAACAAGAUGCAAAGAGAUCAAUCCUAACUGCAGAAUUAUCCAUUAAAACUCUGUCACACGGAAACAAAAAUUCGCAUAACGUGAAAGAUCAAAAAGAACAGAUUAACCAAGAAAAGGUAUAUAUGUAUUGAAAAGAAAAAAAUUGCCGCCUUGAAUGAAUAAAAAGAAUUGGUAACAGUAAUUCAUACGAGAAAGAGAGAGAGGAAUGCUUUUAUAAGAAAUUUACCAUCUUUCCCUAUUGCUUUGCCAGGUAAAGGUUACGAAGAUGAAAGCCGUAAAUGUUGCCGUUUCUUUUUUUCUUUUCUUUUUCCACCUAUUUUCCCAGUAUCACCAAAGACAAAGAGAAGGUUUUAGUUUUCAUAAGCGGAAACAUGGGGCUUCUGUCCUGGUUUUAUUAUAUACCUUGUAACCACGUGUCCGCAACUAAACGCUUUCUUUUCUUGCGAUUUUGUUUGCUUUAGCUUAGUGUCUAAGAUUGGCAUUUUUAGUCCAUCAAAAGGAAGGCCGUAAAUUCAGUAUCUCACUGAAAAUUUUCCCAAAUCACCAGAUUUAUUUCCUUAUAUUUUUCCAGAAGCUCUUCAAGUGACACCCGUAACAAAUGAGUGAAAAAAUAAAACUUCAAAUUCAUGUAUAAAUUUAUCUUAUAGGAUUAUUUUACGAUGCCAUGAUUUUAUCAUGUUUAAAUAUGAAUCAAAUCUUCUAAAGAUAAAAGGAGGGGUGCAACGCGAGACUUUCCCAAGAAGUCACACAUUAUAAUACUGCUCUCUCCCAAACACGCUUAAUUAAACAUGAAUUAUGUAAAUAAAAUAUAAGAUAUGCAAAUUUAAAAAAAAUUGUAAAUUAAUAUUAAUUAUAAAAUAAAACAUUAAUUAUAUGAAAUGAAACAAAAUACUUGUAAAUAAAAGAUUAAAUAGGUAAAUUAAUAUAAGAGUUGUAAAUUGAUGUAUUACUAGUAAAUAGAAUAAAAACUUACAAAUUCAACAUAAAACUUAUAAAUCAACAAUAAAUGUACUAUAAAACAUUAAUUAAAUGAAACAUAAGACUUAUAAAGUGAGGGUAAAACAAGUAAAUUAACAUAGGAAUAGUCAAUUUGUGUAUUAUUGAGAAAACUUUAUAAAUGUAGUAUAAAACUUGUAAAUCAACAUCAAUUAUAAAAUAAAAUAUAAAUUAUGCAAAUAAAACACAGUGCUUGUAAAUGAAGGAUAAAAUAAGUAAAUUAACAUAGAAGCAGUAAAUUGAUCUAUUAUUACUAAACAAAACAAAAAUUAUAAGUGUAACAUAAAAUAGUAAAUCAAUAUUAAGUGUAAAAUAAAACAUCAAUUGAGUAAAUGAAACAUAAGACUUUUAAAUGGGUAGGGCAAGUAAAUUAAUAUAUAGGAGUGAUAAAUUAGAGUUUUAUUGGUAAACAAAAUAAAAACUUAUAGAUGUAACAUAAAACUUAUAAAUCAUUAUUAAAUGUAGAAUAGAACAUAAACUAUGUAAAUAAAAUAUAAGACUUCUAAAUGAAAGAUAAAACAACUAAAUUAAUAUAAGAGUUAGUAAAAAAAAGUAAUAAAAACUUAUUAUAAUAAUGAUUAUCUUAUAUAUUUUAGUACCUACUCAAUGACAACCCCAAAUGAUCUUUAAUUAAAAACAAGAAGUAAAAUUAAAAACCACAUAAAAUAUAUAUAAAACUUAAAAUUAGAUCCAAUUUUAUUGAUAUAUCAAAUAUGUCAAAUAUUCUAAGAAUAUAUUUUAAUUUUUUUUGUCUUAUUCCACAUCAAGAAAAAGAAAAUGUUUGUUUUCUUUGUCCUACAAUAGAAAAUGAAAAUAAAUUUAAGAAUGUGCUAAAAUAGAUAUAGAAUUUAUGGUUAAAUUAAUUCAAUAAAAUCUAUUUCAAUUGUUUUUAAUACAAUUUUUCUGUUUUAAGUUAAUGAGUGACUUUUUUCUUUGUUUAAUUAGAUUAAAUGAAUAAACUAUUUUUUGUUUAAUGAAAUUUAAUAUUAAUUUACAAUAAGUUUUAUAUUAUUUUUACAAGUAUUUGCUUUAUUAACAAAUUUAAAAUAUCAAUUUACAACUCUUAUAUUAAUUUACUUAUUUUACAUCUUAUUUACUAAUUUUAUAUAUAUAAUUUACAAAAUUUAUAUUAAUCAUCAUACUAAUGCCGUAAUUUUAAAUUUUUAAUCACGACAACAUAAAAUUUUUCUUAUUUUAUAUAAAUUGAUAUGAUAAUAUCCAACUGAUUAAAUUAAAUGAUUCUAUCAUCACUUAACAGAUAAUUAUAGACAAAUUACAUCCUUCUUAACAGCAAUCUUAAAUGGAUAUCUGAGUACCAAACGCCUGCGACUAGAUUCAUUGAUCAAACAGACCCUGCAUACACUGUUAUCCUUAAUUUAGCAGUCUUGAGCAGUUUGAGAGCUCAUCACUCAUCAGAUAAAAGUUAAAACCCAAAUCACAUUUAUACAUGAUCCACUUCACCCAAAAAAGUCCAUUUUAGCUUGACCAUGUACAUUUCCCUCAUCAAUCAUCACAGUAAAACAUACAAGGAUUCUCCAAUCUCCAACACCGGGUCAGAGUUGGCACAAACAAGGACAAUUAUUUUGUUUCCAGGUCAAGCACAACAAUCCCCCAAAAAUCCAAUUAUACAUAACAAAAAUGAGAGUAUCAGGUUCCAAAAUAAAUGCUAUGUACAUGAGCAAAGGGAACCUUAUUCGGACUGUUCAACUAAGAAAAAAUGACACAAGGAAAUGAAAUUAAGUGCCAUGACGCAUCAGUGUCUAACUCAAUGCUUUCUUCUAUAUGUAACAUUUCUAAUACAGAGUAUGUACAUGAGUGAAAACCUUUGAAGUAAAUAAAUAUAUGUUUACCCUAUCAAAAUUGGACUCCCCUGCAAAUGCAAUCCCAUGAUUGACAAAAAAUGGCCAGCAUCGCUGUGGUGCCAUGUCUGAAAUUGCCAAAACAACUUGGAGACGGCAUGGGGCACAAGAAGAGAGUUCUAUAGUUCCAAAUUUGUAUACGAUCAAGUGUUGGGAUGGUAAAUGCUUUCACCAAUUAUGCAACUGAGCAGUGAUACUUUUCACUACAGGAUGGUAUUCUGUGUGCACGUGCUUUUUAGCUUUCUCUGAACCAGGUUGCUCAAGCCACUCAUCAUACAAGCUUCUCACCAGAGGAUUUUUGAAAGGAUCAGCUAGCAUUACCUAUUAUAUAUAAAAGAGCAAUCAGUUAAUAACACAGCACCACACCAGAGGUCAAAUUACAUGCAGAUCUCACAAUAAUAUUCCAUAAAUGGAUCUGAUAUGCAAGGUCAUAAAAAAUCAAUAACAGCAUUACAUGCUUGUAGCAUAUAUAUUGACUGCCAAAAAGUUUCCAACCACAUCACUUGAAUGGUAAAUAAUCUUGUACACUGUCAAGUACACCAGGCCUGCAGGCCAGCAAAAAAUCCACUAACACAUACUGGUAGGCAUAUUCCUACUAUAGACCUCAUUUUGGAUAACUAGUAGUAUAGUCAUUGAGGUAAUGAUUGUGGCAAUUUCAUGACCCAACCUGGACCCUUGCGUGGCACCCAUGCGAUCAAGAAACUUAUAGUUCGUGGUACUAUGAAUUAACUAGAAUACACCAAAAAUUAACCGUGGCUUUGUAGUUUUGAAAAUGAAGAGACCCAGAACACCACGAGGCAUAAAGAAUAUGUCAAUGCUAAUAGAAGAACGACUUACAUUUUCCAAAUAGAUGGUUUCCAGUGUCUUAAUCAACUCCUUCGGUGAUUGCCCUGGCUUAGGCUUGAUCUGACCUCCACCAUUCAAGCAACCUGUUAAUCAAUAGCUCAGGAGUUAAUAUCCACCAAUUUUUUAUUUGACAUAGAAAGCAAACAGCCACAUUCUACGUCAAUGAAUAAAAACUAAAAAGGAAGAUUGACCUGAAGGGCAUGCCAUGACCUCCACAAAUUGAUAAUCGCAUUUUCGCAUUUUCACUUUCCUGACAAUGUUUUGCAGGUUCUGGAAGCCAUAACAUAGGGCAAAUUUCAACAACGUUUUUCCCUCCACCUACAUAACGAGAUGGAGCACAAUGUCAUAACCAAAAUGACAUGCAGUACAUGGUAUGCCCUAGAUAUUUUCAAUCCUAUGGAAUAACAACACUGCAACGAUGUUCAUUACAAAACCGAAGAUUCCAGGACAAGCUUCUCACAUGCCUAUAAGAUGUGAUCAAAAUUAAAAAGGAAGCUUACUUCCAGAGCCACCUCUCGGAAAUCAGAGUUUCUGAUGGUUUUAAAUUCUAGAUGACCUUCAAUAACUUUUCCAAAUAGUGUUUUAGCAGCAUGUCUGAAUACUGUUUCUGCAUAACCUCCAGAACUUCCAGCAACCCCAUAAAGAUGUCCUUCAUCAUCAACAUUGGUCAACCUGCAGGAUGACCAAAGCAGAUUCUAUUUUAGUUGGCUACUCUUAACCAUCAUGCAGAUGGCUUCAUAAAAAAGUUAUUCUAAUUCUUACAUUUUAUCAAGAGGAGAUUCCUCUAAUGCUUCAAAAUUUACAGCUUUUAACUGCAUAAAUUGAAAUAAAGUAGUACAAAGUUAGACAUCAUUAUUGUUUCAAACCAGAAAGAAACUGUUUACAGUGAAAGCAGUUAUACAAGUUAGUACCAAUGAAAGCCUCAUCUCACCUGUAUCAAAUCUAAAACUUCCCCAGUCGUCAGGACUGAAUCAACCUCUGGAAUCUCAAGUCCUUCAUCCCUAUAGGUUUCUUCUUGAGAAUCCAAUUGGAAAACAAAGUCUUCUCUAGCAGCCUCUAGCUUCUUAUCAUAGCAAGGCAUCACAGUCACAUGGUAAAUUUCAUCUGGCCUAUUAAACAAGCAUUCAGCAAUCAAAUGAUUCACUCCUGCUAAUGCCUAAACAUGUAGAUUCACAUAAAAGGAAACUUUGCAUACUAUAUCUCUCCUAAAAUCCUAGGACUCAUAAGUGAAUAUGCCUUACAACACAAAUACACUGCUUCAAGGCUCCAACUUUAAUGAAAGAAUUACCUGAAACCCAAUUUUUGGCAAAUAUGGUGUUUGAUGGUAGCUCCAAUUGUCUGCUGAGGGCUCUUCACAGAGGAAAUAUAUGGAAGAAUAUAGGAGCCAAGUUGUUUUUCAGCAUAGCAUAUCCACCCUAAAAUAAAAGAAAGAUUUUCACAUAAUUGAACAACAUCCUUCCAUAAUCCUUAUAAGCAACAACUAUUGAUCAUUGAUAACACAAUGGAUGGUUUUAUAGUGUAAGGAGAUCAUCAUUAGUUGCCUAACAGGGAUAGACUUAAAUACCUGGACAUGCCGAUGACAGCAUGGGCAGGGAUGAAUUGGACCUUUCAUCAUCAGAUUCUUGGCUUUGUUUGUAGCGAGCAAUAAACUCAUUGCAAGCUUCAAUAAGCGUUAAGUCUCUACUGCAGCUCGUAUCAAAGAUGCUCUUCACUCCAAGCGACUUCAAGAAUGUUGUAAGUUUCUUGAAAACCUGAAAUUUUUUUCAAACAAAAGCCGACUUCACACUUAGAUCAUUGACUUGCAGUAUAAUAAGAAUCAAUAAUUCAUCGGACGUUUUCAUAAAAUUGUGUGACAUAUGAAACUUAAACAUCACCUUGACUAAGGAAACUACCCAAUAGCAAAAAAUCAUAGGAUGAUAUAAUCCUCAACCAAGAGAAGCAUACAAAACUUCUAUAAAAAAUGAUAAUUGAGCCCCGUUUUACCUGAAGAGGAGAGAUGCCAAAAUGUUCAGCAAGGGAAGCUCUUGACUGUGGAGAAAGGGAAAUAAUAACAGCCUUUCCUUUAUUAAUAUUUGAUAGGAACUCAUCCAAACUCUGCUUCUCAAGCAUCACAGUCUCCGCUGACGUAAUGCAUCCACUACCACGUGUCCAAAAAUAUCACAAAACAAUGAGCUUUUUCACCGGGGCAACAUAACAGAACAUGUAUAAAACAAUCAAUUACCUGCAAGCUAAGCAAUCCUUGAGUGAGAUUUUCACCGGUUCAGCCUGCUGCUUGCUGGAAGUAGAAACCUUCACAAUAAGGAAAACAAAAAUUACAAAUUGAAAUAAAGGGUAUUACUAAAGUCGCUUAAAAUAAAAAGAAAAAAGAAAAGGAAAUAUCAUUUAUAUGCACCUGGGGCUUAUCAGGGUUUUUAAAGGUAGCUUUUUUAAGAGAAACAACGCAAUUCUGAGACGGUGCUAUAAAAUCGCUGAGAUCUCCGAUUCUCAGCGUAGGCGAGAACUUCUCUGACAUUUCUCUUUCUUCAAUUCAACACUGCAUCCGCCGAAUUGAUUAAACAAACGGCGAUUAAUUCAGAGCUCAAUUUUAGGGAUUUUUUUAUUUUUUAUUUUUUGGAGGGGGUAGAUUAAUUCUGUAGAAAGAACAAAAAUGGAGGAGAGGCAGAAGAUACUCCACAAGGAGAGUUUUGAUUUUGAGGCGCGUGUGUUGUAGGAAAUGUUCGGUCGGGUCAAAGGCGGUUUUGGAUAUUGAGGAGGGAUUCAGUGAGGGCAAGGAGAUUGUGUUAGCCAAUGAGAUUUUUCUGAUUUGUGGAAAAGGAGUACAAGUCCAAGUGAUUCGGAUGUCUAUUGGUUACUGACGUGUACGUCUCUGAUUCCCUAGAUUAUAAAAGCACGUGCCCACCACAAUCCACAACCCUUGCUCCGUCAUCCGUGGCUACAGCAAGUGCAAUCCCCACAACCACAAAUUAGAAUCUGUGGCCCCAUGCCCUGCGAGAAAUUCAUUUACUUUACGCCGUGUGUCCCAUAUAUUUGAAAAAAUUAAGUCGUAUUUAUAUUAAAUUUAAUUAUACAUAUAAUAAUUAAUUAUGUUAUCUUAAAUGAAUAAUGAUAUAAUGAUAAAUUUUUGUAUAAAUUUAUUUUGUAUAAAUUGGUGUGGCAUAAUAAGAUUAGUUGAAUUAAAUAUCACUUGUUCUAUAUGAUUUAUUUUUAGUAUUUUAUAUAUUUUUUUUAACUAAUAAAUUAAUGACACGUCAGUUUAUACAAAAUAAAUUUAUACAAAAAUUUAUAGUUGUAUCAUCACUCUAUCUUAAAUAUACAUAAAUUUUGUCAUGCGGUGCCUAUCUUCGUCUUCUUAUUUGGUUAGUCCAUGGCAAAUUAUAUAACUAACCAUCUUCCUUUGUUCAUGCUUCACAACAUACAAUCGUCGUAUCAUUCCAUUUAUUAUGUUUGUAUUGUAUGCAAUAUGCCAUAAAUAUUUGUAAUAAUUAUUAUAUUUUUGUAAAAAAGUGAACUUUCGAUCAAGAAUUCCUACCUUAAUAUAAUCAGAUCAAAAGACAAAUAUAAAACAUAAAAUUUUUAUAUAUAACACAUAAUAUGGUCGCGUCAUAUCCUCGGGAAAUUUUCAAUAAUGUUUUGUCAUUUUCAUUUUGUUUUUUUGGGUUUAUUAUCAAUCUCUUAUCAGUUUUCUUCUCCAAAUUUUUCUCACUUCUUGAAAUAUAUAUGUUCACAGACUCAUGGUGUAUAUGAUCAGUUUGCAACAUGGAUUACGGCUAUGAAUUUGUAAUUCAAAAAAUGAAAACAUUUUGAAUUAUGAAGCAGGAUUCAUUAAAUUGUGAAAUAUUUGAGAAAAACGGGAAAUUGACAAAUCCUGCUUGGAAUAGGAAUGUUCAAAUUUCCAUACUUGGGAGAAACUUUUUAUUUUGUUCACUUUCUGUAAUGAAACCUGCUGCAUUAUGUGUGUGUGUGUUUACACAUAUGUUGUGUUAUUAAAUGCUAAAAAAGGUCAGACAGUGGUAGCCGGUCGUUGCAAAUCUUUAUUGUAGAUGUUGAAACUUCGAAACGAGUCUUAAUCUUUCUUCAUUUCUGGAGUUACAUGUAUGUGUGCCUCCGCUCUUUUGCAUCCACUCUUUGCUAAAAUGAAUUUCUGUUAAUGUCAUAACAAAGAUUUUAUGAUCGUAAUUGCUGAAAAUGAAAGCUGUGUAUAAUAAAUAUUAAUACAAUCUACAAAGACUCUGCAUUAAUUAUUUUAUUUAUCAAGUGGCUACUACUAGCUUGGGAUAGUCACAUACACAGUUCACUUUUCUUCAUCAUCAGCUUCUUAUUUAUCAUUCAUUUAUUGCGGCAGCAUCCAGCUUAACCUCCACCGACAACACCCCACCGAGCAAAGUAUGCUCAGUGAGUUAAAAUAUCUUACCACCUUGCACCAUUUUUGGCCUUGCUGCCACCAUACAAGCGGAAGAGACUGAAAGCAGAGAUACAAGACAGAACCACCAUACUUAUGCUAACCAAUAGAGCUGACGCAAUUCCCUCCCCUACUUGGUUGCAGAAUUUCCCGUACAUGUUGCAUAUCUUCAGCCAUUGUAAUUCUGGUUGUCCCAGCUUCGCAAACACUGCUGAUUGCGCAGCAGCUGCCACGGCAGCUACUGUCAAGUAUGCCAUCAUCUGCACAAACAAGUUAAUCCAUGCAGCACAUAUGGUUAUUGGCUAAAACAAAUGGGAUACUCGUUUCGUCUUACUUCUUAGAUUAGCUUAAUCAGUAAUUAAUGAUAUCAAUUUAGCACAUAAAUCAAGCAAUGUCAUAAAUAUUAUAUUGAACAACAUACUGCAAAUGAAAGUCCACGACCUCAAAAGGCUCUAACGGUAAUGAUAAAUUCACAAAGUACACACUCUAGAUAGACAUUCCAAAUUUAAGAAGCAAACCCUGAACAGGAAGCAGAUCAGGGAAAGGGAGGUGUUGAUGUAAAUUACGACUUGUAAUAUCCCAUAUCCAACACCCAAUCAAAUAUAGUCUUCCUUCACCUAAAAAACUCAAUUAUCAUAUGAAGCACUCAGUUAUCAGUGACAACCAACUCAUGGACAAUCAUGGAGAUUUCACCUGAUGAGAAAUAGAAAGAGAACAAUCAAUUAGAAUUGGCAGCAAUCAAAUAUUACCUGAUCUCCAGAGAAAAUUGCCCAGGCUAGUGGCUUGUUAAAUAGCACACUUCCCUUGAGCAUAGCAACAGUACAGCGCACCCCUUGCACUAAAGAGUAGGCUGCAGCUAUUCCAUUUGCUACCACCAAAAACCUGCAUUAUACAAGAGUAAGAACACAAGAAACGUACAAAUGCUUAGCCUAAGGUACAUAAAGCUAAAAGUUCAAGAUUUUAAGAGAUUUUAGAAGCUUACACAAGAGCUUUCAUGUCUGUAAACUUAGCUUUCUUUUGAAUUGAGAAGAUUUCUCUGACUUGAGUAUCAGUCCCAACAAGAACAGCAGCAAGAACACCUAAACCACAGAUCACACAUCUCAAAACCAACUCUACAAGCCUUAUUCUCCUAUCAACAACCUUCAUUACGGUGCCAUGAUACACUGGCACAUUCCCUGGACUAACACCAACACCCAAGUAACUCAUUUUUUUUUUCUUCCAAAGAUUUAACACUUAAAGGAAGAAAUCUGAACAGAAGGAGAAUAGAAGAGUUCAGGACACAGCUCUCAAAUCCAGAAAAAUAUCCUAACCUUUGCCCAACAUCAACCACCACGUUCCACUUCUUAAAUAGGCACCCAAGAAAAUAAUUUUUCUCAUUGAAUAUUAAAAAAAUACAGCACUGCUAUGCCUGUACAAGAAUGAAUAGGCUGUGAGAGUACCAAGUGGUAAAGACAGGACCUGGUAGCUCUACGCCUCCUACAGACAAAGGGCACUGCGCCUCUGAAUUACAGCAAAGGAGUAUUAAAUAUGAAAGAGAAAACUUGAGACUAAAAAUUUUAACUCUUUUUUUCCGGGAAAGGCCAUAGUUUGUUGUCCCAAGGAAGGUGUCAGAUAAGGUAAAAGAGGUGCCUAUUGAAUGAAGAUGAUGGUAUUGGUAGAAUUCAUGAGGACCCAUUUCUCUCAACAAUAUAGUAGAAAGAACAAAAGUCUUAUUACAAAACAAAAAACAAUGACCCUGUUUAAAGGCUAAACGUGAAACAAAAGCAAAUCGCUCAUGAUAAAAAACUGAGUGAUGAAAUGAUUAAAGUGGCAUGCUUUGAUGCUUGCUAGUGGUUUCGUCUAAAGUGGUGGGUCAUUUGUUCGAGGGACGUAGUGAAGGCUUAUUUAAUUUAAUUUUUAAAAUAUUUAUUUAUUUAUAUUUAUGUGAUAAAUAAAAAAUAAUUUUUUCUCUUAUCAAAUUUAAUUAUUCUCUUUUUUUAUUUAUAUAAUUAUUGUAUUUCUUUUUCUUUGUUCUUUAACAAUGAUACUAAAAUAAUAAUAUUAUAUUAUUAAUUUUUUAAAAAAAAUUCUUAAAAGACUCAUUUAAUUUUAUUCUUUAGACAUUUAUUUACUUACUUAUAUGUUAAAUAAAAAAUAAAAAAAUAAUUUUUUUUUCAAAAUUCUUUAAAUAAAAACAAAUUUCCAUUAUUUUAAUCAAACUCCUCCCAAAUCAAAUUUAGUUAGCAUCUAUUUUCGGAGAUGCUUGUUAUUAAUGAGAUAGAGACAGACCAUUCAAGGUUAACUUUUCUCUCUCGACAGUGUGGACCCACGUUCUCUGAACAAUUUCAAGCACUAAAAAGUCAAAAAGCAUGCCCAAUAGAUAAAAAAGGGGGUGAAAUGGUGCCACGGGUUGAGUACUUCAAGCCAUUUCCACCUACUUAAUUCCAUUAUCAAUGCUUAGUCUAUCUCCUUGUGUUGCGAUGCAAAAUUCCAGAUCGUCCAAAAGAGAUGGCAACGUCAAUGAUCAAACUCUAUCAAUUGUUUGUGGGAAAGUACUGCCUAUUGUCAUCUUUACGCGAUAUAUAACUUACAUGAAUUUCCACUCUCCCACAAGCAAUCUAUUAUCAUCAUCGCCUCAAAUGAGUGCCUCAUCAUCCACUAUGUUUAUAUUGAUUAUCACAGAAAAUAUUUAAAUAAGUACAAUAAUUGUGUGUUAACCAUUCAAAUUCAACUUUCUUUAUCUAAUAAUUACUACAACUACAACCUGUCAGAAUCUAAAUUAAACUAUAUAUUUUGUUUGGACAGUUUACCUCUUAGAUUAUCUUUUCAGGUUAAGUGGCAAGUUAACAUGACAGCAGAGUCAAUUUUUCCCAAGAAAUUUUGUGUUUGAAUCACAUUAAUUAAGUCUAGUCAAGCGAUAAUUACUGGGCACAACCCAAUUGUAGAUGUUUUCAAAAGACCAAAGAUGGGGCUUGGGAGGUGUGUUGCGUAUGGAAGGUGAUUCAAUUGUAUUGUCACAAUAUUGGCCAUACUUUGGUCAUUGCAUACAUAUGUGUAAUAUACGAUUUUGCGUGCAUUGUAUUUCCCCAACGUAUGGUCGUGAAUGAUAACAGAAGUGGUGAAGUAAAAGCAAGAAAAAUGUAGAAGAAAUUUCAUAGACAAAAUUGAAGUUCAGUCGACCGGGAUAGUGGGUCACUGACUCACUGUCUCAUAUAAUCCUCACUAGCCCUUAGAAUUAAUGUGAACCAUAGGAUAGAAAAUUGCAUUUGCUCUCUAGGACUAAAUAUAUAUGGUGAUGAAUGAAUUAAUAAUGUUGACAAUGAUGAGACUCCCCAUGUUCUAUAAAUGCAUAAGAUAACUGCACAUUGUUUUUAUCUCUCAUGAUCAUAUGGCGAUGAAAUUGACAGUCUCGCAUCUCCUCAGAACUAACGCCAUAUCUGUCGGCGUCCAUGCAGCCCUGCUGUAAGAUGGCCCACAAUUCAUGGAAAAUUAACAAAAGAUAUGAGCAAGUUGUUGCAUAAGAAGAAGAGGGGAAAAUGAAAAAUAUAUUGGCCCUUCAUUGGGCAAGGAUCUCUGGCUCUGUGCAGUGUGCAGCAACAUUGUUUGUAAUUCUAGCGAUGCUGCAGAGACAGAGGCCGAUCAGCAUGCAUUGAAUUGACAAUCAGCUGAUCCCACUUAAUUUUAAUUUCAAUCUUAAUCUUGUGUGAGAGGCCUAAGUUGUAUAUAUCAAGAGUGUUUGUGAAUUGAUAGAUUACUACUAAUUAAUCGAAUUAGAUCUCUUGUAAUCGGUUAUUGAAUAAAGCACUGUUGCACAGAAAAUACUAUUCUAAUACGUUAAGUGAGACCAGGACCAAAUAAGCCACUGCAAUUCGCAAGCAAAACUGAAAAUUCACUUCCCAUUAUGAUAAUGUUACUACUAAAAUUUUCAUCAGAUUUUAAGAUCUAUCAAUAAAGCAGAGAAAAAAGGAAAGAAGAUUUGACAAAAUCUUCAAUACUUUAAAACUCAUGGACGAUAUUCGAAUUUGCAAGAACGAUGACCUGCCAUCACAGAUAAAAAGAGACGUUAUGGCAUGUAUCAAAUUUAAAAUACCAUACGAUCUAGAUAACUGAUACGAUAUAUCUAUUGGGAAUGGGNNNNNNNNNNNNNNNNNNNGAGAAUUGCUAUGAUGUAGAUAUAAGCUGAUGAGAUGAGUUUAUUAGAGAUUGUUAUCUUACUUGGGUCAAGAUCAGUGAUCAUUGCAGCAGCAUGGAAGUAGCAAGUUGCUCCUUGAUGCUUGAACUUUUGGUAGUAGUCAUUGAAAGCAUAAGAGGCAUGGUCCCUCAAAGUGUUGGGAAAAUAACAAGGCUGCUUUGCUUGUAACUUGUUACAAUCAGCACCUCCUUUUCCACAAGCCCAAUCAAGUGCCAUUUGCAGCUCAUCGUCUGGGGUUUGGCCGUCAGCUAUACACCAUUCCAUGAAUUCACCAUCUGAUUAUAAUACACAAAUUAACAAAUUGCUAUUCGGUACCAUCCAUUAACUAAAGCUAUGAUUGCAGAUGGUGUUACCUGAUGUUUGCAGAGUAGAAAUAGCAAUAAGAAAAGCUAGUAAAAUGCUUAACAAAGCAGAUGACAUUGGAAGUUUCAGAAGCUAGCAACUGUCUGUAUGUCUUAUACUUACAAGUACUGGACAUUGCAUCUCCAAAUAGUUUGCUUGCUCUAUAUUUAUCAAGUAUCUGUAUGUGAAGAAAAAAGAGAAAAGAAGAGUUGUGGGCUUUUCCCAAAGCCUAGAUUCCAUUAGUCUCUAUGAGUUCCUUGGAUCUCAAGAUAACUGUAGUUUUUUUGUUUUUUGACUGGCAAUGGCAUAGCAUAACUACCCUUGUUCUACACUGUGUUGUGCAGUCUAUACAUUAUUCGAUAUCAAUAUCAAUUAUAAUUAAGAAGCACAGCUUGCAACACUCGGGGAAAGGAGACAUGGUUCGACUUAAUUUUCAUGUUUAUUCCUAAUUUAUCCUAAACAGAGUGCAACAAUUUUAUCAGUCACAAUUAAUUAAUAGUUUCGACGGCAGUGGUUGUUUGGUAUUUGCACAAAAAGAGAGGAGCAGGAGCAAGAUCCUAUAAUUAAGAUCUCUUUUGCAAUGAGAGAAUCAAGAUUACCCUAUUCCUAAGCAAACUUGAACAAUCUGUACUGCUUUUUUUUUUUUAAUCUGGAUCCAGUCAAUUUUAUUUUUUUUCUUUUUACUUUUCCUUUUUCUUUAUCGCCACCACGCCAUGGAAGAGAAUUUCGUGUGCCUGAAUUUGAUCAAAAUCGCACAAAUGAAAGACAAGAAAGAAAGGGACCCAAUUAAUACUUCAUAGAACUAGAAUUUGACAAUACAAACAAAAUUGGGGACCUAUAAGCUGUAUGUGCAAAACUAUGUAGUUAUUUAUUUUUGGGCAAAACAGAGGAAGCCAAUGGUACAAUAUUAUUCCUCUGGACGCUGUAAUGCACAAAAACGAUCAAAGCCCAUGUCUCAGCUGAAAAAGAAAAGAAAAGAUAGUACCCCAAAAGUGAUCCAACCUGGCCCGGCCCACUAUCUUCUCCAGAUAUAUAUAGCUGGUGACGUUUAUGAAAACCCUACAAUCUAGUUCUAGCUGCAUAGCAGCAGGAAGUCAGUAACAGUAGUCAAUAGAUCCUCUUGAGACUCAAACUGCUGAGUUUUGCUGUUCUGAGUGUAACCCUCGGCUGGCUGUCUCAAAGAAGUAUAGAGGAUCUGAAAUUAAAGCGGCAUCUCAGAAAGCCAGUGCUUUUUGUAACCCCAUCGGCUCUUGGCUCGCUAUGGUGCUCACACUUUUUUUUUUCCCCCUCCCCUUCCUCUCUCUGCUUUCUGGUACCAUUGGUCUUUAGAUUCGUUUUCACAUCAAGUGGUAUUUUUCUUGAAAUUGAGUAAAGAGUUAAUUGGCACAUGCCUAUCAGUUUUGAGUUAAGAGAAAGUAAUGCCAUUUUUUUUAUAAGUCAAAAACAAAAUUAUAUACGAUCUUCGUAUAAUUGAUGCAUUUAUCAGUUUUUUUAAUUAUACUGUUGGAAAUAUUGUUUUAUAUUGAGGCAAUUCAAUCCAAUUGCGUAGCUUAACUCAAUGGCACAACUCCUGCUGCAAACUGCAAUACAUUGCACUUUGAGAUUCCCCCCCCCCAAAAAAAAAAUCCAUCAAUCGCGGUGCCUGAGAAAUCAGAAAACAGAGGAGCUGAGUCAUCUCAUCUCACUACUUAUAUAAUGAUGUUUCCGAAAGGGUAAUUUUUAUCCCGCACCCAAAUGUUUUGACGUACAGCACAACGCACCCAAUUCUUUUGCCUAUGAGCACCGUGCACCCAUUUCCGUUUAUUUUUCAGUUAACUGUAACGGAUCAGGGUAAAAUUGGAAUAACUCAUCAAAAUUUAAAAAUAAAAAAAUAGGUAAACUCGAUGUUUGCGCCAAAAUAAUUUCACAUCACUGUGCUUAUGUUCACUGCGUUUGCGUGUGAGACCAAGAAGCAUGGCCACACCUCCAUUGAUGCCAAAAUCGAGGAGGUGGGUGAAGAAGGAUUGGCGCCAAAAUCAUUCACAUAUGAUGUACAAGGAAAUUAUUUCAGCCUUUAAAUACUUUUUUAUUACAGCAGCAUCAGCUAUUGCUCUGUUUCGAAGAUCUGCUCAAUUUCUAAGACAAUAGUUGGUUUGAGAGUUUAAGGGAAGUGAAUCCACUGAGCGUGCUAUUGAAGAAGUGGAGGUCAGUUUCAUUUCUUGCUCAAUUGUUUUAAUUUAUUCCAUUUUGUUUGCAUGUCAAUUAUUUACACAUUUUUAGCUGGAUUUUGCUUAUCUAUAAAACUUGAAUCAUUGUUAAUCAAAUCAGCUAUAAUUUACGCCUCAAUGUGGUUUGUAAGUUUAAGUUAUGUUGGCUUAUACCUCAAUAAUGUGGUGUUUGCGUUAUUGAUUUCAAUUUCUAUUGAUGAUUUUGAGUAUACAUAUUAGUUUAUGAAAGUUUUUAAUUAGGAUGAUUGGUCACACAUAUAUGUCAUAACAACUGUGUUUUUUUGGGUUAUGGUUGUACUGUAGAUCAGUAGUAGUAGUGAUUUGGAUAUAAACGCUAGUGCUUUUAUUGUAAAUGAUAGUGAUGAAGAUCCAGUGUUACUGAAUUUGAUGUAAAAGUUAUUGGUUUUUGGCUAAAUAUCUUAGAUAAAUAUGAUGCCCAUGCAAUCAAAUCCAAUGCUUAUGCAAUUUACACCAUGUUUAUGAUAAGUAAUUAAAAAAAUAAAUGACUAUUCCAGGUGAAAAUGGAUGAUGAUGAUAUUACAACUGUUCUUUGUACAUUCAAGGGCAAGACAUAUAAUGUUGGUGUAAUUGAUCCAGAUAAGUUUAGUAGAGUUUCUGUAAUUAACAAGGUUUUGGUUAGAGUCUAUGGAAGAAAGAUGAGGCCUGAUGAGAAGUUUACACUAAGUGUUUGGGUACCAUGGGUCUAUAAGGAAGUAGAGAUUAUGUCUGAUCAUGACUUAAUAUUCCAGCUGAGAGAGCAUAAUAAGAUGUUGUUCUACUGCAUGCAAUUGUAUAUUGAAGAAAUCCAUGUACCUCAUGAGUUUGUACCUAGAAGGGCUUUGUUUCAGCACUCAGCAGAAGAAAGCUUACAAGGGUAUGCUGAAACAAACUUUCCAGCCACUACUGACCUGAACAAACCUUAUACACAUGCUACAUCCACCAACACAAAUCCUUAUGAAAAUGACAGUAAUGACCAUUCGAACCAUGAACCCCCUGUCAAGAACUCCAGCAGCAUAAUGAUGCAUAAUGUUGCACUUGAUAGCAUCCAAUCACAGACCAAACCAGAUACCAACCCUGACCUAUAUCAAGACUUUUUGGAUACCUAUAUCACUUGCCCUGUCUGCAGCUUCUUCUUC